rnacentral:lncRNA from 1 species
GAGGUCAAUGGAACAUACCACUGAUAUUAAUCUUUUACUAUUUAGGGGAAUUCAUAAAUCCCGUAUUACAAGAAGCCAAGAAUUGGUUGGUUGCUCAGCACAACAUAACUGAUACAAACAAUUACUGAUACAAGCACAAGGACAAACACAAGUCACAUCAAAACAGAAAGGCUAAGCAACAAGAACACUUCCACAGAGCACUUCUCACAGGCAAAUUGCUAAACAUGCAGUGAGCAACCAUUGAUUUGGAAUGCGACUGCUUCUCCACAGAGGAUUACAACAAAUUCAGAAAGCAGCCCACACGCUCCUGAUAAGAUCCAAUCACGUUCUGAAUCUGGACAACUUGCAAAAGUUUAUAGCCAAAAAGCUGUAGCAAGUGUCAAUGCAUUCUUCAAUGAAGUAAAACCACCUACGUCGCCAAUGCGGAUUUAUGCACAAUACUGCUGCAAUUGUCAACACCAUAGUUAUGUAAAACACACCAAAGCUGGCAUAGAAACUGUCCAUGUCUAUGAAGCCACCAUCUCCAUUGAAAUCGUUAGGCACUCUUGCGGAUGGUGAUUCUGUUUUGUCGCAACUGUUUUGCAAUGGAGGUCCACAAAGAAGAGGAUUCCCUUUAUAACUGCUCUCAUCAAAGGUACCAAAUUGAUUUUUCAUCUCCAGUGUUCUUCCUGACAAAUUAUUGUACGACACGUUGAAAACUUCUAGAAAGGUCAGUUCAACGAGUUGUUCUGGAAUUCUCCCAUUCAAGGUGUUGUGAGAAAGAUCCAAGCUCUCUAUCUGCUUCAGAUUGGAGAAAGAUGGAGGGAUCAAUCCAGUGAGAUUAUUUCGCGACAGAUUUAGAGAGUAUAUCCCACUUAAGUUUCCCCAUUCUGUCGGGAUUUCUCCAGUGAAUCUGUUACAAGAAAGGUCCAUAACAGACAUGUAACGAAGGAUAUCGCCUUCGUAAGAGUAGAAAUUUUUCUUUGUUGUAAGCUCUACAGAUAUUUUUACACUGAUCUCUGGCCACAAAAUUUUGCCAUAAAGAUAAAAACCUUCGUGCUCCAAUUCUCUUUCCCCCAUGGAUGCAAAUAUUUCUUUCCGGCUUCCAUCAUCUUGUGAGUACGUACUAGUGACAACCCAAGUUUUUUCAUAUGAUGCCGUAAAAUCUAAAUUGCUCAAACAUGAGGGUAACAGACUAGAAAAAUUAUUUUCUGAAAGAUCCAAUAUGCUUAAUUUCCUUAACAAGCAUAAUUGAACAGGAAGUUCCCCAUUGAAUUGAUUAGAUUUCAAAAGAAGAAAACUCAAUUCCGAAAGUCUAUCAAUCCAAUUUGGAAUUGGCCCAGUUAAGUUGUUAUAGCCGAGAUCUAAUGUCACCAAAGAAGAGAUGUUAUAAAAAGCAUUUGGCAGUGGACCGGUCAAUCGAUUUCCGUAUAGGUGGACAUAGCGUAAAUGCGGUGCAUAAAAGCCCAACGGCAAAGACCCAGACAAAUUGUUUUCAGAAAGAUCUAAAAAUUCAAGCCUAGAAGGAUUGAAAUAUUCUUUUGGAAUGGUACCUUCAAACUGAUUUCUGGACAAAUCAAUUGCCUGAAAGGGGUAUAUUGAAGAGUUCCCAAUUCCCCUUGGAAGCAUGCCUGACAAAAGAUUGUUACUUAUAUCAAACCACAAAAAUGAUGAUGCAAGAGAAAAGGUACCAGAUACUUGUCCUGCAAAUUUGUUUCCGUCGAGAAAGAGGUACUCUAGGUGAGUCAUGUUGAACAAAGAGAGUGGUAAUCGCCCUUUGAAAUUGUUAUUGGACAGCUUUAAGGACCACAACGAGGAGCCUACUGCUGGAAAAUUAUGCUUAAGCAGUUCACAAGACAUCUGAUUGUUGGAAAGAUCAAAGUAUUCGAGAGAGCUCAUAUUCCCAAAACAAGGAGGAAUACAACCUGUGAGGCUGUUGUUAGCCAUCAUGAAGUUUUUCAAACGUGGAAAAAUCGAACAUAUGUUGCUUGCAAUUUGACCAUGUAUGUUGUUGCCAGACAUAUCUACUGUCUGAAGGUUGGGUGUUGGAUGUUGUGGCAGCUGCAAAAGACUUGUAAAUGAGGUGUCUCUCAAAUAUAGCCGAUUUAACUUUCUAUUAUUCUCAAACAGCCAAGAUGGGAAAGGUUCUCCAACGAAUUUGUUGUGGGAUAGAUCAAGAAACACCAAAUCAUGUUGGCUAUGCAGGAAGUUUGGAAAUCCAGCUCUGAGUGGUUUUGAAGUACAGUUUGAAGCACUGAAGUAACGAAGCUGGAACUUGGGAGCUGAAGGCUGAAAACUGGGUGCAGCUAUCAGCUCAUUGUUAUCGCAUGCAAUGAACUUGAGGUUGGAGAGGUUCAUAAAUGAACCAAAUGUUAUUGGAACUUGAAAGUAGUUACUUGAAACUGAGAGGUAUUCAAGCUGCGUAAGAUGGGAAAGGUGACUAGAGGCAAUAUUUCCCUCCAAUUGGUUGUCAGAUACAUCCAAGAUUUGUAGAGAUGAUAGAUUUCCAAAACAAGGAGGGAGUACGCCCUUUAGAUAGUUUCUUGAGAGAUAUAGCUUUUCAAGAUUCUUCGGUUCACACCAGCCUGCAGAAUAUAUCAAUAUGUUCAUAUAUCAAUUAUGUAAUUGCUUGGUGAGGUUUUAAAGUUUUAGUUGAUUCUUGUUUCAUUACCUAGGUCGGUUUUAGAUUAUAUUUAAACAACUUUGUUUGUUAGUUUUUUAAAAGAUUAAUUAUCUAUAUUAUUGAUAUUCAUAAUUUUUUUAAUUCAAAGUUUUUUCUAUAAUUUAAGACAGAGAAAUUUUAGAGAUUCAGAAACUCUAGAUUUUAUCCUUUUCUAUACAUAACAUUAUGAGUAAAUUUCUAGUUUAAUAAAACAUAGAUAUAACAAAAUAUCUAAUGAACAACUGUUAUUUGGAUUUCAAUACUCUUAUAAUUGUUCAUUUGUAGAAUUACCAUCCCAAUAUCCAUAUAAAUUCAAUGAAAUAUAAAUUUGUGUGUUAAUUUUUUGAUAUUAUAUCAAUAUUUUAAUAACCAAAUAUUCAUGAAUUCUAACAUAUCACAUAUAAAUUCUAACUAGUUGAUCCUUUAAUAAAAUUUUAAAAAUUGAACAAAAGUUAAUGGUUAAUACACAUCUAUUUAUUAGACAAAUUCACUAAAGAAUAAAUUAAGCCUCACUAAGGAAUGUCAUCCAAGGAAGGAAUGAUUUACAACUUUACCAUUGAGACCAGUUGAUCCUGUGAACAUAUUGUCUGAUAGAUCUAGAGAUUUGAGAGUUGAAAAUCCAUUGAGAGAUGAUAAAAUGCUGUCGUUAAAUUUAUUGUUACUUAGAUAAAGUUCCUCCAAAUUCCUCAACCCUGAAGCUAGGACUUGAAAACCUGAAAGAAAAUUGUCGGAAGCAAAGAAAUUAACAGAUAUAUAUAUCAACCAUCCCAAUAUCCAUAUAAAUUAAAUGAAAUAUAAAUUUGUGUGUUAAUUUUUUGACAUUAUAUCAAUAUUUUAAUAACCAAAUAUUCAUGAAUUCUAACAUAUCACCUCCAUUCUUUUAAUAAAAUUUUAAAAAUUGAACAAAAGUUAAUGGUUAAUACACAUCUAUUUAUUAGACAAGUUCACUCAAGAAUAAAUUAAACCUCACUAGGGAACGUCAUUUGAGGUAGGAAUGAUUUACAACUUUACCAUUGAAACCAGUUGAUUCUGUGAAUCUAUUGUUUGAUAAAUCUAGAGAUUUGAGAGUUGAAAAUCCACUGAGAGAUGAUAAAACACUGUUGUUCAAUUUAUUGUCACUUAGAUAAAGUUCCUCCAAUUUCCUCAACCCUAAAGCUAGGACUUGAAAACCUGAAAGAAGAUUGUCAGAAGCAAAGACAAUUAAAAGAUUUAUAUAUCAACCAUUUCAAUAUCCAUAAAGAUUCAAUGUAAAGUUACUUGAAACAUAACUAACUUUAUGUGUUAACUAAAAAAAAAUUGAAAGCAUAGAACCUUGGUUCUUUAAGCCACCAACUAAUUGGUUGCCGCUUAAGUCGAGAAUCUCCAGUUCUUUGAAAGGCAGAAACAAAGGUGCAUUGAGAUCCAAGUCUUCGACUGCAUCAUAAUUUACAUAUGAAAGAUGUAGUUCGAUCACUCGGUUUGUGGUGUUGUCACACACAACCCUAUAAUAAUCCCAGUUACAGCAAUUAAAGUGCUCUUUAUCCCAACGUUCUAGCGGAUCAUAGGACCCAGCUGCACGUGCAUGAUAGAACCAAGCUUUUAUCUCUAAGAGACUAACUCUCUCUUCCUCCACACAACAAUGGCUCCGGUCGUUGAGGAAGGCCAGUGCCAUGAGCAGCAUCCACACCCACAUUUGCCUCAUCUUCAUAUUAACGCUCCUACUUGACAAAAUACAAAAGCAAGCAAGCUGUCUCUUAUAUACAAAUUAAUUUGUCCUCUUCAUUUGAUCGGACUUAAUUAUCUGUAUCAUUGAAUUUUCUAUGCUGAAUUAAUUAUCCAAGGGAGACUUGGGCUGAAUUGAAUGGGAGAAUCUUCACGGACAGAUCCAGGGGCCCGCACCACGGCACAGAUCGCUCGGUUUGUGGUGUUGGAUUAAAGGAUAUUAAUUCCAACUUCUUGUUUACUGCUUUACUUUUCUUCAUAGACUUGGGAAGUCAGGUGCUGUAUAUGAACAAUUGAUUUGAUCUUAUGAAAUACACGGCAGAAGAGAUUAGAAAAUGACUUCUAUUAUCAAUAAUUUCUUCUUACUGCACCUACUGAUUUUUAUUUCUUUUGAAAUAUUUAGAAUAUCUCUUUUGAAAUAUCAAUAUCGCCUACCCCACUUCCUUCAUUUUUGUUAACGGAGUGAAAUGAUUUCAACACGUGUCCAUGCAUCUGCCAGCUACCCUAAUUAAUCUGCACUAACAGUGACCAUAACAGCUGUAACAAUACUCCCUCAAUACUUGUAACAUCAUCCUAAUAUAUAUAUAAUAGAUUGGAAGCAUGCAUGGGUUUCUUACAUGAUUAACUAAACUUAAUCUUGUAAUAUUGAAUUAUUUGAUGAAAACAUUAUCUAAAACAAGAUUAAUUGAUAUAUUUAAAGUCAAAUAAAAAACAAACCCUGCUUAUUUUUAAUAUUAAAAAUUAUUUCUAACAUAAAUUUUUAACAUAAUAAUUUAUCAAAAUUAAAAUAAAUUAGAAUCACCGUUUGAGCAAUUGAUUUGAUCUUGGGCCCACAAUUAUUUUCAUUAGCCUGUUAAUAUUUUUCUUCAAGCUUGUGGAACAGGUUGUUCCUUUAGGCUACUUUGCUUCUUCUUUUUUUUCUUCUUAGACUUGGGAAGUUAUUUGUUUGAACAUUUAAUUUAAGUUUUUAUGGUUGUUUGUUUUUGUGUUUUAAAAGUAUUUUUAAAUAAAUUUUAAAUUUUUUAAUUUUUUUAUUAACUUCAAAUUAAUAUAUUUUUAGUGUUUUCAAAUCAUUUUGAUAUGCUAAUGUCAAAAAUAAUUUUUAAAAAAUAAAAAAAUAUUAUUAAUAUAUAUUUUAACAUAAAAAAUUAUUUAAAAAACAAUAAUAUAAUCUCAUCAUCCAAUAUCGCUUGUUUUUAUUCUUCGUAGACAUGUGAAGUAAAGAUUCCCAAUUAUCCACUGCAUCAAUCUCUAUCCCAUCAAAAUGAAUUUGGUGCAAGAAAAAAAUAUCUAAUAUAUGUGAUUUACUCAUUAUGCAUAUUUAAGAUUGCUAAAGGAAAAUAUUUAGUUUAAUUUCACAUAUAAGCUAAUUCGAUAACACUUUUUAAUAUAAAACCAAAAAAAAAAAGAGUGCUAUCGUCAUCAACUUUAUUUGGUUUCAAUUUAUGACGUUUGACAUAUAAAUUCUGUUCAAUUUAAAUCAACUUUUCAAUAAAUAGUGAAUGUUAAUGAGCACAGUAGCGAGAACUAAGCAGUGUUAUGUGUACUUGGAACCAAGGUUGUUAAAAUCGUGUUUUGACUCGUAAAAUCGUACGAUUUUACGAGUCAAAACAUGUAUUACGGGUUGAAUCGCUUGAAAAAAUCAAAAAUAGCUAAAAUCGGGUUGAAAUCGAGUGAAAUCGCGAUUUCAGGACCGAUUUUGCGAUUUUGACAAAAUAAGGCCCUGAAACAAAAUCCUCCCUCCUGGAUAGCUGUCAUGCCUAUUGGAUUAUUCCUGCACAGUCUUACUCAUACACAACGUUUCAUGUCUUCCUUAGCUCUCGUGUCUAGCGUGAAUAGGAAGGUCCCCGUGUUGGUCAAGCAGGAAUGUCUGGAACUAGUUGCUAUGUGUAAUAAAAAAAACUUUGGCAGGAUAUGAACAGAAUGAAGAAUUACAAAGAUGAAAUCUCUCUCUCUCUCUCUCCCCUUCCUUCUUCUUAUCUCUUUCACCAUUCAUGCUGCAACCCUCCUGUUGAUUUCUGGAAAUGGUUCAGAACCAUUCCAUCGCAUUCAAUUCCCCUGGAUAUAUUUCUGGAAAUGUAAUUUUUAAUCUAUUAAUUUUUUUUAUAAAACAUAUUAACCGAAUAUUAUUUCAAUUUCACUCGAGUUUUAUGGUAGAAACUGGUGAAGUGUGUGUAUAACACCUGACAAUAUUUUAAGAUGCUUGAACUAUAUAUGAAUUUUUAUUUGAAGGCUUGAAAUAUGUAUGAAAUUUUAUUUGAAACAUGUUUUUUAAUGUGCUUGAACUAUGUAUGAAUUUUUAUUUGAAACAUGAAUUUUUUUUAAUGUAUUUCAAAAUUCCUUACGAUUUUACGAGCCGUUUUUACAAUCCGAUUUUGUGAAGGGCUUUCCGUUUCGUUCUAAAAUCGCGAUUUUAACAAUCUUACUUGGGACUGUGAAUAAUGUACACUUUAGCUCUCUUCAUACAGUCAAUUGACUUUGACACAGUAAAAAUGAAAAAAAAAUUACUCCGUCGAUUGGUGAUUAAACUACAAUACUAAAUAUACCAACUCUGUGGAUUUGUGAUUAAACUUGGAAAAAAACAACAAUACUAAAAAAAGCCAUAUGUGAAUUUGUGAUUAAGAAAAUUCAUUAUUUUAUUUUUUGACAUAUUAGGUUCCACUAGAUGCACCCAGUCAAUGUGAGUGGUUGUCUUUUUUAUUAUUUAUGAGGAUCCAAUUGAUGCAUCAAGUCUAGGGCUCCACAAUCACUGUCACUAGUCAAUUCCGCCAACUUGUUGCGUAAACUACUUUGCUUUCUCUUCAUAUAUAGACAUGGAAAUCAUGUGGAAUCAAAAAAUUUAUUCCUUAACCUUUUUCAUGGAAUGAAGUGAUUUCCCAGUAGCAUCAUCAUCCACUUGCACUUUUUUUUUCUUCGUAGACUUGAGAAGUCGGUCAAGAUUCCCAAUAUAUUAUCAACAUCAUCAAUUUAAAAAAGAAAUAUAUGUUAGGUUGAUUUAUAUGUUAGGCUGAUUUACUUCCAUAUUAAUUAUUGUUUGAAUAUUCUUAAUCCGAAUGAUAUUAGUCCAUUCAAAACAAAUUCAUUUUCUUUUUUUAUAAAUAUAUUUAUAUAACUACCAAAGAAGAAAAUGCAUUGAUUAAAAUAUUAUUAAUCUGUUUGAAUGAAGAAAGUUAAGGCAGAGAUGACCAACCUAAACACCGUGUGGGCCAAUAAAAUUGAAAACAAAAGAUAAUAUCAAUGGCUUGCAAAAAAAAAGGGUUUGUGUUAAAUUUAUCUAUAUGUUAAAUUACUUGAUUUACUAAACUUAAUCAUGUAAUAUUGAAUUAUUUGAUGAAAACAUUAUCUAAAACAUGAUUAAUUGACAUAUUUAAAGUCAAAUAAAAAACAAAUCCUGCUUACUUUUAAUAUUAAAAAUUAUUUUUUAAUCUAAACUCUUUAGCAUGAAAAUUUAACAAAAUUAAAAUAAAUUAUGAUUACUAUUUGAGCGAUUGAUUUGAUCUUCGGCCCCACAAUUAUUUUUGUUAGUCUGUGAAUGUUUUUCUUCAAGCUUGUGAAACUGGAUAUUCCUCUGUAAUGUAAGUUCCUUUGUUUUUUUUCUUCGUAGACUUGAAAAGUCAUUUGUUCGAACAUUUGAUUUUCUGAUAAGUCAAUCAUCCACUGCAUCAAUCUCUAUCCCAUUGUUAGUCUGUGAAUUUUCUAUGCUGAAUUAUCCAAGGGAGACUUGGGCUUCAUUGAAUGAGAGAGUCUUCACGGCACAGAUCGCUCGGUUUGUGGUGUUGGAUUAAAGGAUAUUCCAACUUCUUGUUUACUGCUUUGCUUUUCUCCGUAGACUUGGGAAGUCAAGAUUCCUAUAAUCCACAUCAUCAAAAAAACCCAAAUCGAUAAUGUGGUGUUGGAUUAAAGGAUAUUAAUUCCAACGUCUUGUUUACUGCUUUACUUUUCUUCAUAGACUUGGGAAGUCAGGUGCUGUAUAUGAACAAUUGAUUUGAUCUUAUGAAAUACAUGGCAGAAGAGAUUAGAAAAUGAUUAACAGAUAUAUACAUCUCAACCAUACCAAUAUCCAUAAAGAUUCAAUGUAAAGUUACUUGAAAUAUAAUUAACUUUAUGUGUUAACUAAAAGAAAAUUGAAAGCAUAGAACCUUGGUUCUUUAAGCCACCAACUAAUUGGUUGUCGCUUAAGUCGAGAAUCUCCAGUUCUUUGAAAGGCAGAAACAAAGACGCAUUGAGAUACAAGUCUUCGACUGCAUUGAGAACAUCAUAAUUUACGCUAUAAAGAUUUAGUUCGAUCACUCGGUUUGUGGUGUUGUCACACACAACCAAAUCCCAGUUACAGCAAUUAAAAUGCUCUUUAUCCCAACCUUCUAGCUGAUGGGACCCAGGUGCACCUGCAUGAUUGAACCAAGCUUUUAUCUCUAAGAGACUAACUCUCUCUUCCUCCACACAACAAUGGCUCCGGUCGUUGACGAAGGACAGUGCCAUGAGCAGCAUCCACACCCACAUUUGCCUCAUCUUCAUAUUAACGCUCCUACUUGACAAAAUACAAAAGCAAGCAAGCUAUCUCUUAUAUACAAUUUUGUCCUCUUCAUGCAUUUGAUCGGACAGUGACAAUUAUCUGUAUCAUUGAAUUUUCUAUGCUGAAUUAAUUAUCCAAGGGAGACGUGGGCUUCAUUGAAUGAGAGAGUCUUCACGGCACAGAUCGCUCGGUUUGUGGUGUUGGAUUAAAGGAUAUUCCAACUUCUUGUUUACUGCUUUGCUUUUCUCCAUAGACUUGGGAAGUCAAGAUUCCUAUAAUCCACAUCAUCAAAAUGAAUGUGAUCGAAGAAAGGAAAAAAUGAAAAAAAAAAAAAAACAUUAACAGUGGCUUACAAAAAAUAAAUAAAUAAAUAAAACCAUCAAUUACGAGCUUCAUAAGAUAAUUUUAGCUUAAAAAAACCCAAAUCGAUAAUGUUUUCUUUAACAUUGGUAUCCGUUUAAUCAAUCUUCUGGUUUGAUCCUUGAUAGUGCUGUGUUUUGAUGCUUGUCGAUUAGCCACAAUAAUGUUAAAUUUACAAGGACAGAUCCAAGAAAAGCAAUGCAGGCCUGUUUUGGUCUCUGGGAGUCCCCUGAUAAAGGCUGCAACUAUUGCUUGAACCCUUGUAAAGGGGCCUUUACACAUGCGGUCCACUGAGAAGUACAACACCGUUCUUUAUUUAAUUCUUAUGGUUUAAAUCUACUAAUAACUUAGUCAUUUUGCAUGCUAUUUUUCCACUUGUUUUGUAAAAUAGAGAAAAGAACUGUUAAGCAUGCUGGAUAUUUCGCAUAAUAAGCUCCGGGUCCUUUAUCCUCUUGUUUGUCCAAUUUAACUUUCAUGGCAAACGAUGCAAAAUGCUAUGUAUCUUUUACUUGGCCUAGUAUUCAAUAUUUUGAUCAGUCAAAUCUUGUACUCAUGGGUUUGCCUCAAGUAGGCGAUUCUUAUCGGGAAAAUAAGUACACAAACAACAUUGCAGAUUAAUCUGUCGAGUUCUCAACAAAAAGACAGUCAUACUCCUAUCGAGAUGUGACGCGGAACAAUAAGUAAAAAGAAUUAAAGCAAGAAAAGAAAGAAGCUUUAAAGAAGAAAGAAGCUAAAGAAGAGGAGGAGAGGGGUUGGAGAUGUGCAAAUCUGCAAUUUUCAUUCAUUCAAAAAAUGUCUUCCCAAAUGACAAAGAGCAUAUAAAUAGUCUCAACCUAGAACAUCCUGCUAUUGGGCUUGGCCCAUCAAACCAAAUUGUUUAACAUAAAUAAUAAAAAUAACAAUGAGCAAGCCCAAAUGGGCUAAAUAAAUAAAAUUACAAUGAGAUAGGCCCAAUGGGCUUAGUCUCCCAACCAAAGCGUGACAGGCUGGGCCAUCCUACGUCGUCUCCGUCCAUAUACUCGUGUAAUCUGUGGCGUGGGCCUGGUGUCCUCACCAACUCUCCUGGGGUUAGAGAAACUCGACCUUGUCGAGCGUAGCAGUGGCCGACUCUGAUAGUACUCCCAAAGAUCUGGGUCAAGCUGCUGCAAAGUAUCUCUAGUAAUCCAAGUGCAGUCUGAGUCGGGUCGACCCACCCAGCGAACUAGAAACCGCUGAAUCUCACCAUUCCUAUUAAAAACAACUUGUUCAUCCAGAAUAGCAUCAAUAUUAUCCUUUUGUGCUGAUGUCAAAGUAAAAAGGGAUAGGGGUUUAUUAGGAUCAUCAGGAGGGGGUUAAGUGGUGUUCAAUGGGUCAUUUGGAAUAGGAAGUGGUUUGUGGUAUGCAACUAGAUCCUCAAUGUUAAAUGUAGAGCUAAUGCCAAAAUCAUGUGGUAAAUCAAGAACAUAAGCAUUUGGACCAACCCGUUGUAGCACUUUGAAAGGCCCGCACUACGUGCAUGCAAUUUUCGAUUAGCUCCCGAAGGAAACCGUUCGGGUCUAAUCCGUUAUCAUAGUCUCCAACAUUAAACUCAUUAUGUCGUCUAUGUGCAUCAGCUUGAAGUUUAUAUUGCGCAUUACUUGCUUGAAUUUGUUUAGUGAUCUCAAUAUGCAAAUCCUGAAUUCUACGUGCAAAAGACUCGGCUGACUCAGACACUCUAGCAUGAAGGGACAUGGGAAGAAGAUCUAAAGGUUUCCUAGGCUUGUAACCAUGUACAACUUCAAAGGGACUCAUGCCUAUUGACCUAUUGAUGAGCUAUUAUAGGCAAACUGGGCUAGGAAGAAUCAGAUCCCAAUUCCGAUUAUGAUCACUCACUAGACACCUUAAAAGGUUACCCAAACUCCUGUUAACCACCUCAGUUUGACCAUCAGUUUGGGGUGGUAAGCAGUAGAAAACUUCAAUUUGGUUCCCACCAUAUGCCAAAGGGUUUUCCAGAAAUAACUUGUAAAUCUAACAUCCCUAUCUGAAACUAUGGUUUGGGGAAGGCCGUACAACUUGACAAUCUCGUCAAAAUAGAGUUUUGCGACUCUGGAAGCAUCUGUGGUCUUAGUACAAGGAAUAAAAUGGGCCAUCUUAGAGAAGCGGUCGACAACCACAAAAAUAGAAUCAUGUUUCUUUGCAGUACGUGGAAGCCCAAGCACAAAAUCCAUGCUUACAUCUUGCCAAGGGCAAGUAGGCACGGGUAAUGGAGUGUAAAGACCAGUAUUUUGUUUUCUAUGCUUAGCGAGUUGGCAAGUUCGACACUGACCUACUAAUUUGGCGACAUCUCUUUUCAAACUAGACCAAAAAAACUGACGUUCCACUUCUUCGAUGGUUUUAUUCCUUCCAAAAUGUCCUGAGAGACCUCCAACAUGAAUCUCCCAUAUCAAAAAAUCACGCACAGAUGUUUUCAGGAUACAAAGCUUAUUAUCUCGAAAUAGGUAUCCAUCUUGGAGGUGAUAACCAUUUAUAACACGGUGAUGCGCAUCCUUCAAUGUCAAGUAUAUUUCUCCAAAUUCUAGGCAAGAUUCAUACUCCUCCUUAAGUCUCUCAAAUCCUGUGACUCCAACACUCAUUACAGAUAACAACGUCACCCGACGACUCAAAGCAUCUGCAGCCUUAUUCUCUAUUCCAGAUUUAUGUUUCAAAACAAAUGAGUAUGCUUGCAAAUAUUCAACCCAAUGACCAUGCCUAUUGUCGCACCCUAAAAAAAAUCAGCUCGCGGCAUCGGCUGGCGAUUUUUCUCGUUUGUUUGUCGUUGCUUGAAUUUGGUUCGUUGGAGUCGCCACCUAGUAAUUGAUUGCGGGCUACUAGGAAACCGGCUGUACUGGUCUUGUCAGAGAUUCGUGGGUACGGGACUGGUUGUGGUUAGGGAAGGUAUUAGCACCCCUAACACACCCUACCUGAGGUAAGCUGCUUCGCGAAUUUGAUGUAUUAAAGAAGUUUUAAUAAUUGUCUUUUCAUCAGAAAUUAGAAAUAUCACUUACGUAUAAGUUAAUAAUUCUUAACCAAGAUCCGAUCAAAAUAUUAAAUUCUUCUUUAAUAUAUUUGCAAUUUUAUCAUUAAAAAAUAUAUACAAAUAAAUAAAAACAAAAUACAAACACACACGUACACUUCCACUAUUUUUGUUUCUUUUCUUUUUUUCUUUUCUUUUCUUUUACAUCCAUAUUUACAAAACAAAUAGACAAUCCAAAAAAAAAUAAAAAAAAAAUACAUCAAACAAUUUAAAAUUACAAAACAGCCCCUAAAACAUCCUAAGGCUUCUAGAACAUGCAGGAACAGUGCACGAGAACAGUGCUGGGAGGCUUCUGGUGCAGAGAAUCAGUUGAUGCUUGCCAUUUGUUCUCAGUUAUACUAAGAAAGAAUGAACCGCGACUCUGUCCACCAUUCUCUCCUGUGCAUGAACAAAUCAGUGAAGGAAUAUUUGCAGUGAUAAAUAUGUUAAUGGUUUCCUGACUUCAUUAGAAUAUUUUGCUCCCAUUUUCUUUGCUCCAUGAACUGAAUAUAUAUUGCAACAUAAUUGUGGUGUUGUCAAUCACGGCAAUUAUGCACAUAAAUCCUUACUGGCGCCGCAGGUGGUUUUACUUCAUUGAAGAAUCGCAACUAUUAUGCUGCUGUUUUCUAGCGGUUAGUUUCCGUAAGCUGUCCAACAUCAUGUCAUCGAACCUCUGUAUAAUCAUUCAAUUAGAUGACACAUUUAAAAAUUUUAAAAACUAAUAAUACUAUAACUAUGAAGAACACCUAAAAUAUUUAAUUUUAUUCUUCCAAGUCUCUGCUAAACUAAUUAUACACAAUUGUGGUACUAGCAAUUGCGGCAGUUUUGUACAUAAACCCAUAUUGGCGACAUAGGUGGUUUUACUUCAUAGAAGAGUGCAUGGAGACUUGCUACUACUUUGAAUUGCAUACAUUUCAUAAGCUAUCCUCCUUCAUAAGGCCAUAGGGUCUGACGCGUGCCUUUUGUUUUUUCAUAUUUUUUAGUUUGAACUAAUAAAACCUUUACUUUUUUUCAAGCUUCAGUUAAUUUUAUUGCAGUUUCUCAAAUGAAUUCUACAAAUUCAAGAUAUAUAUGCAUCCUUAAUGCCAUAUUAAAGAGAAUAUAUAGAUAGGAAGAAGAGGAGCUUUACGUGAUAUGGAUAGCGAGAUGCUCCUAAGCCUAGAACCAGCUAAAACUUAAUAUUAUGAUGAAUAAUUCAGCAAAACUUAAUUCAAUUUCAACUUCCAUUCUCAUCAUUAGUACAAAAUGCAGAGUCAGAUUGAAAGGAAAAUGAUUGGAACUUGAAAUUCAGGUAACAAUACAUCUAGCAGAGCUUCCUCCUUACCCUCUCCCUAUUGUAUCUUCUUCGAGUGGAACUCUUAGCUUUUUGCCCUCCAAGAUAAAUGUUCUCAUCUUUCUCCAGUACUCUCUGAUAACUCAGAGAGCAGCCGCCCUGUAUAUUCCCUUUUUUUUUUAUUAUUAUUCAAAACGUUAUAGAGAAGUUCUUUUACAGAGAAACCCUUUUUAAGAUAACCAUCUAGAUAAAUAACAUUAAUCCCAUAUAUAUCAGGAUAUAUACAAUUACAAAAUAUUAAAAUAUAAUUUUUAUUUUAAAUUUUACAGCUCACGCUAACAUUAAUUCCUAAACAGUACAGCUCACGCUAACACUCUCUUUUCCAUCCAGCAUAAGCAGUCACAACUUACCUCCACGGAAAACUUUAUAGCCAACUUCAACCAAUAUUUAAAAGGAAUUUUGUCCUAUGUUUGAUAAGCAAAAUCAACAGAACCUGUCGUUGACUUUCUAGCUCAAAUUUAGCAGUAGCCAUUUUAAGGAGCAGAAACAAACACUGUACUUUUAUCAUCACGAAAAUCUGGUUGAUUUAUUAUCACGAAAAUCGAAAAUCUAGUUGAUUUAUCAUUACGAAAAUCUAGUUAAAACAAAUUAAUAUGAAAUCAAAUCGAGGAUGAAAGGUUGAUUUUGAGAUCAAGAAUAGCAUGUAUUAAAAAGAUAAUAAAUAAAAUUAGAGUAAUAACAUUGAUACAACUUAUCAUUAAAUUUCAUUUGCAAUUUCCUCUCGAUUUUCUGUAGUUCUGUAGAGACAUAGAUUAGUUGGUUCUUACGGGAAUUUUUCUUCCUUAAUUUCACUCCCAUUUCCCAAACGAUGGAAUUCAUACAACCUUUCGAUUUUAUUUCCACGUAAAAUCCAUUCUUCUCUAUCAAACAGAACAUAAUAAUGGGCCAUAUUUUAAUUUAAAUAUAUUUUUCCUAAUAUUUAAAGUUUUUUUACUGGGAAAAUAUCAUGGGGAUUUGAGAGAAAAGACAAUAGAUAAGAAAGGACAAGAAAAAAAGUGAGAGAAAAUGAUGGUGGGUCUUCAUUCUUCAGGGACCGUAUUGGAACUCUUUGGAGGCAUGCGUGAGAGGUGAAAUGGGAAAGUAUAGGGAACAAAGUGUAAUGUCAAUGAAUAUAUAGGGCUUAAAAUGCAAUUUACCCUUAAUUUUUUCGUGGAUGACGCAGUCACAAGGAGAGGAUAGAUGUCAUUUCUGAAAUGAUAAGACAGAAGUGACAAUAAGUAAAAUUUCGUAAAUCAUCAUCAAUCAAAAAUCAUGACGUGGGGACAAAUCACAUAAUUGAUUGAUUUUACAACCCUUUAAAACAAACUCAUCAAAAUAUUUAAUCCAAAUUCUGAAUAAACAACAAUAUCUAAUGUAGAUAGGUUUGAAUAAUUUGAUGAUUAUUAAUAGUCAAUUGUAGAUUUAUCACAAUUAGAUCAUAUAUAUAAAACCCAAUAAACUCAUAAUACGAACAAAUAUAACUGGGCUAACUUAAGAAAAAAAUACAUUGGUGCAAAAUGACUAGUCUAACUAAAAAAGUUUAAAUUUUAAUUUGACCUCAUGGAAAUCAUUCUCAAAUUUAAUUAGGAGAUUUUAUGGUUUCUAUUCUAUAAAGGGUGUGUGUAGGCUUGAAAGAAGUUAUGCGUGCCAAUUUCGUUAUUUUUUUAAUCUUUUUACAAUUCUAGUUUAAUUUUGGAUUUUAUAUUGUAAGAACCUAUAUCAUAUCAAGAUUAAAUUUCAGUAAAAAAAAAUAUUAGAAUUCUAGUUGUGGAGAGUUUUUUUAUAUAUAGAAUUACGUUUUUCUUUGAGCUUGUUUUUUUCUUAACCGGAUCAACUACAUCAAUCUCCUAAAAAAACGAAAAAAAAAAAAGUUGGGAAUGAAAACUUAAGUGAAAUUUAACAGUCUGCAACAACAAUCCUUUACCGUCCACCAUGAAAUGAUCAACAGGUUUUUUUUAAGGACAAUAUAAAUUCUGAAAGAGCGUAGACAUGAAUGACAGCCAAGAACCACCCAACAGCCAUGCAGGGUCUAGUCUGCAUGGCAAAGGUCCCCUCAAUCGCUGAAUCCACAUGAACACAGUCUAAUGAACUGCUAACAUGCAUUUGGUUGUGGUAAUUCAAUUAUGCGAAGGGUGUCGGUCCGAAUUCUUCAACUUAAACGAACAUGUUUGCGUAAUUAAGUGUUCAAUCACGUACUUAAUUUGCUAUUGAAAACAUUUAGAAUUUAUCAACAAUUUAAUUAAGCAGGUGUAUACAACCUCCCAACAUUUGUAGAUAUCAUUGAAUCAUUAGUUAACACCAAGUAGACUGAGAUCGGAUCAAAAUGUGUCACUUAAGCUCUUAAUAUUACAGAAAACUUACAAUUGCCCUGAUGGUUAAUUAGCACAAAAGACCGGCUUGGAGUUCAGACUAGCCAAAUUGCCCAACUCUUUAAGCCUGAAUUUUAUCACCAUCAUAAAAUGGGAAAAUUAGUUUAGAUAUACAAGGCGAAAUGGAAUUAAUUACCUAACAAUUUGAACUUCAGAUUGGUCAUGCAUGACCACUUGCAGGUCCUCCUAGUGUUAGAACCACACCUUGAAGAUCACUUCUUGGAUCUGAUUCUUUGGCUAAUGAUGGAGCAGCUCUGAUUACCGGAUAUGUUCUGGUCACUUGAGUUUGUCGAGAACUAUGACUGGAUUGUCCUGAGAAUGUUUUUGGAUGAUGAGAAGGCUUCAAGGUAUCAGUAUGAAAUUCAUUCGAAGCACCACCCAGAAACCAGUGCUCAAAAAGCCCCUUUAUAAAGAUAACUAACAGAGAAGGUCACAGACAGCAGAGGAGGUCAGCAUCACCAUCGAUUUCCUUUCUCCAGAAGCAGGGGUUUACCACCACAUCAACACCCAUCUUCCCCGAUCUCUUCAUCUCCUUUAGCACUGAAGAGAAACCGAACGGUGGAGCAGAGAACACAGACAGCAGAGGAGGUCAGCAUCACCAUCGAUUUCCUUUCUCCAGAAGCAGGGGUCUACCGCCACAUCAACACCCAUCUUCCCCGAUCUCUUCAUCUCCUUUAGCUCUGAAGCUUCCUCCAGCAGUGGCCAACACACGGCAGCCCCUACAAAACCAAAAUGAGAUAAAUCUCAAAGAGAAAGAAAGACUCGAACUUGUGUAGCAGAUCUGGACCGAGAUCCAGCCGCCAUCAGCUCUGGCGAUGCCUAACAACCAGAUGUGCUACAGGGAUGAACUCUCGGGCAACAAACAGUGAUAGACUCGAAAGAAGCCAAUCUAAAGGAGGAGAAGGAAAAAAACGCAGAUCUGUGAAAAAAAGACAAUAAUCGAAACUCAAUUAAGAAGAAAUCAUCGCACAAACAAUCUCCCGGACCGGUUGUUGAUUUGGAUCCUUUCCCAAUUGAGGAUGGAAGACUACGGGAAAGAGGAGAUUGGUUGGGGUGGGGAUUGAAGCUGUGAUUUGGGAUCGGUUCAGUUUAUCAAGCAGACUUCAAGAGGUAAGACCCUAUACAAUAACAGUAACAACAAAGAGAACUUUUCAACCCAGCCAUGGAGGGGAAAGCUCUCUCUCAAAAAGCCCAGCCACCGUUCCAGACAAACUUAAUUCCUUCUCACAAACACAAAAAAGAACUUGACCUUCCAUACAAGCCAUAUUACCCCCAGCCUCAGCUACCAUCCAUCACCUUAAACACUCAGACUUCAACAAACUACCGUGAUUUUCAACUACAAUGUUACUUUGAAAACUUCCUAAGUUGGGUCGAUUACCAUAAGCUUAAAGACUGCUUCAGAAAACAGGGGAAAGUUAUUAAGCUGUUUGUUUCUCGAAAAACAAAUCAAGCAGGAAAGCAUUUUGGCUUCGUCACCAUCCUCUCGAAUCUGUCAGACAAAACUCUGCUAGAAUGCUUAAAUGACAUAUGGUUUGAUUCCUACAAGCUGAGAGUUAAUGUGGCUAAGCACAGAAGAAAAGAUGUAGUGACGAAACAGAAAAUAAUGGGAACCGGGAAACAAAUACCCAAGCUCAACAACAAAGCCAAGGCCCCCAUCCGUGUAAGAGACAACCGAAGCUAUCUUGAGGCAGUAAGAUCAGGGAGUCAAGUGCAUCAAGCGUCUGAUAAUGCCACACCACGUCAUCAUAACUUCAUUUCUUUCAACACUACAGAUGAGGAAAUUCUAUGGUUAAGAAAUAGUCUUAUAGGCAAGAUAUCUCAGGGAGUAGAUUAUGCACAAAUCAGACAUGGAUUAAUUCAGCUAGGCAUUUGCUUCUCUGCUUUCCGUUUCCUAGGGGGAUCACAGGCAAUCAUAAGCUUUGAUGGUGAGAAAUCUAUGCAACAAGCCAUGCAGAAAGGUAUGGAAUGCUGGAGGCUCUACUUUGAUGAAGUUCACCCGUGGACUGAAGAAGAUGUGACAGAGAGUCGUCUAGCAUGGAUCUCUAUCUCUCAUUUGCCUAUCUCUGGCUGGAGUUUGAGAUGUAUCUCAAACCUUCUCAUGAACCGUGGACGGGUGAUAGGUUUUGACAAAACCAGCCUAAAAAUCUCUGAACUUCACAGUGUGAAAAUCCUUAUAGGUACUCACUUGCCGGAGAUCCACGACUCUAUAGCUCUCAUGCUAAACUCCAAGUUAGUACACAUAUAGCUGGAUGAGAUUGACCUUUUAAGAUAUCCAGAGGCAAAAGGAAUUUCAUACUCGAUGGCAGAAUUUCAAACCACAUUACUUCAGGGAGAUAGUGCUGACAGUGACUCAGAUGAUGAAGUGUACACUGAUCUUGCUUUUGACUUGGCAGGAGAUGACAACAUUUGCAGGCUAGGUAUCACUGAUAAGAAUUGUGGAUCUGAUGACAAGGGACACACGAUGGAGGUAAGGAAGCACAACCCAUAUGGGACACAUGAGGUGUACGAUCAUAGCUUUGCGUCCACAAUAAAUGCCAUUGACAACACAGAACGGCUACAUAUCGUUGUUGACGAUCUCUUUUACGAUGUGAAUUCAGCAAGCCCACUAGAGCAUCCAAGCAUGGCUUUCAAAAGAGACUCCUUCUUGCCACAACCUUAUACCCCUGUUAGCAGUGAUGAUUCUUUAGAAUCCCACUUCAAAAUCCAAAGCCUACCUCUUACAUCUAACCAACAACAGACCCCAACAGCCAAACAACCAAGACUAAAGAAAAUAUCCUCUACUAGGAGUCUCCUCUCCUUGCACUCUUCAGCAAGCAUGUCUUCUAUAGACUCUUACAUCAGGGUGAAUAAUACCCGUAACCUGAAAGAAUAUGCAGCGGAAUCGUCCCACAAUGAAGUCAACAAAAUGAUCCGUUUGGGAGAAGCUUUGGGUCUUGGUAAUUCAGCUCUCUUGGAACAAUUUUCUGGUCUUAUCAUAAGACAGCUAGAAAAGGAGAAGGAAGAUUGGCAGAAACAACAAUGAAUAGUAAGUUUUCAUCCCCUGCAGAUAGGCCUUUUAAUUCUGUCAUGAAUAUUCUUUCUUGGAAUUCCUGUGGCUUGGGCAUGAUGAGGAAACGAAGAAGAAUCACGAAAUUAAUAGCAGAAUAUAAGAUUGAUAUAUGUUUCAUGCUGGAAACUAAGCUAGCUAAUUGUUCCAUUGGUUUUGUAUCUCGUAUUUGGAAUGAAAAUCAUGUGAGUUGGUUUAGUAAUGAUGCUCAAGGAUCAAAAGGAGGUCUGCUUGCUAUGUGGAAAAACACUAACUUUGAAGUCUCUAAUAUUGAAUAUGGUCAUGGUUGGAUCGGUUUAUAUGGUAAACAUGUUCACAGUGAUUUUCAUUGCUUUGUUAUUGGCAUCUAUGCUCCUUGUAACUAUCAGGACAGACAAAAACUUUGGGAGGAUCUCAUUCUUCUGAAGCAUGCUUUUGAAGUUCCAUGGAUAAUAGCAGGAGAUUUUAAUGAAACGCUCUCUCAGAAAGACAGAAACAGUGGAAUUUGUCAUCCUGCAGGCUCAAAUUCUUUUAGCAGAUUCCUGCAGUCUUGUGAGCUCACUGAAUACCCUUUAGCAGAAGGUUAUUUUACCUGGUUUAGAGGAAGGUCCAAGAGCAAACUAGAUCGAAUGUUCGCAAGCUCAACCUACCAUCUUCACUUCCCCAGUUUAUCUCUUCGACGACUUCCAAGAGAGUUCUCAGAUCAUUGCCCUCUAAUUCUAUGUAGCUUCUUGCAAGACCAUGGAUGGCGUCCUUUUCGUUUCUUGGACUGUUGGACUCAAUACCCAAAUUUCAAGCACAUUAUUGAAAGCUUCUGGAAUGAUGCAUGCUCCCUUCACCCUGGCCGCUUUAAAUUUCUCAAAAAGCUUAAUCAUAUUGCAGUCAAAUUGAGGCAAUGGAAUAAGCUUGUAUUUGGAAAUCAAGAAGCUGGCCUUCAACGAACCCUUUCAGCUAUCAACAUACUAGAGGAAAAAUGUGAAGAAGAAGGUUUAACCGACCAAGAGCAGGAGCAUUUAGACUUUUUGUUGAAAGACCGCUGGGUUCGCAACAAUCACAUUGAAUCUAUUUGGAGGCAGAAAUCAAGACAGAUGUGGUGCAAAUUGGGUGACAGAAAUAACAAGUUUUUUCACAUGAUUGCCAAUUUCAGGAAGGCUAAAUCAUCAAUACUUAAAAUCCACCAUAAUGGCAACACUUUUGACUCUCAGCAGGGAAUUAAGCAGGCUGCUGUGGAUUAUUUCUCUGAGCUGUAUGACUCUCCCUCUGGUAAAAAGCCGCAGUUAAAUCCUUUGGGUUUCAAAUGUCUCUCUAAAGAAUCCUCUGAAUGGUUGGAGCAAGAAAUCACAAUGGAAGAAGUGAAGCGCGGUGUAUGGGGUUGUGAUGGGUCAAAAUGUCCUGGACCAGAUGGUUUCAACUUCAAAUUCUACAGAUUAGCAUGGGAUUUUAUUGCUCAAGACAUUCUCGAUAUAGUCUUAAGCUUCUUCAGAACAGGAAGGCUUCCCAAAGGAAUCAAUACAACCUACGUAACUCUCCUCUCUAAGACAGUCGAACCCAUUGAGUUUAAAGAUUUUCGGCCCAUCAGCAUGAUUCAUGGUAUUUAUAAGAUCAUUGCUAAAAUCCUUGCUUCUAGACUGAAAGUUGUUAUGCAAGAUAUCAUUAGCAUUAACCAAUCAACGUUUAUAGCAGACCGUAACAUUAUAGAUGGCUUUAUGAUUGCAAAUGAGCUGGUGAAUGAUCUAAAAAAGCAAAAAGCGGCAGGUUUGAUUUUCAAGAUUGAUUUUCAUAAAGCUUUCGACUCAGUCUCCUGGGAUUACCUAGAUGAUAUCAUGGGUUAUAUGGGGUUUGGUAGAAAAUGGAGAACCAUGAUUUAUGAAUGUCUUUCUUCAUCAAAACUCUCGGUUUUCAUCAAUGGAUCUCUUUCAAAAGAAUUCUCUGUUCGGCGAGGGCUGCGUCAAGGAGAUCCGAUUUCCCCUUUUCUGUUUGACAUAGCUGCUGAGGGCCUCUCUGUACUCUUUCAAAGGGCAUCUAGUGGGAAUAUUAUCAAAGGGCUGCAAUUUGCAUUAGGAAUUUUUGUCAGCCAUCUUCAAUAUGCAGAUGACACAUUAAUAUUCAUCCCAGCAGAUAUUGAUCAGUUAGUUCAAGUCAAAAGAAUUUUAAGAUGGUUUGCUCUGUCUUCAGGCCUUCAUAUAAACUUCCAUAAAAGAUCCAUUAUUGGUAUCAAUGUCGAUGAUCACUUGUGCUUGCGCUUGGCUACAUCUAUUUUCUGCAGAUCAGACUCCCUCCCAAGCAAAUAUCUUGGCAUGCCAUUAGGAGCCAAUCCAUCUCGUAUCUCCACAUGGAAGCCAGUGAUAGAGAAGUUUCGUAAAAGGCUUCAUAUAUGGAAGGGGAGACUACUAAGCAUGGCUGGUCGUCUAUGUCUCAUUAAAAGUGUCCUUAAUUCCCUGCCUAUAUAUUUUAUGUCUGUAUUCAAGAUGCCAAAAGGGGUAGGCAGGCUUCUUUCAUCCAUCCAAAGACGUUUCUUGUGGUGUGGAUGUACCAAGCAAAGAUCUUUCUGCAAGAUCCAAUGGAGAAUAGUGAUGCGCGAUAAGAAACAAGGAGGCCUCGGUGUAGGCUCCCUUAUAUCAAAAAACAGAGCCCUGCUUCUAAAAUGGAUUUGGAGACUCUCUUCCCCAGGUACAAGCUUAUGGAAAAUGAUUAUCUCUUCAAUGUACAAUCCAUCUUAUGAGAAUGGGAUCCCAAUUUUCUACAACCAACCAUCCAAGAUAUGGAAGGAUAUUAUGUCCAUCGUUCAAACCGACGUUCACCAAGUCUUCACGAAUCAUUGCAAAUUCAUGGUGGGGAAUGGCAAUUUAACAUCCUUUUGGCUAGACAGCUGGAUUGGUGACGACCCUCUCAAAACAGCCUUCCCAAGGCUAUAUCUUUUGUCUUCCUCUAAAACUGCUUUGGUGGCUGACAUGGGUAGAUGGAGCAAUGGAAUCUGGCUCUGGUCCCUACAAUGGCGCAGACCUCUUUUUCAUUUUGAACAAGAACAACUAUCACUUUUAUCAUCCUUGCUGGAAUCCAAGCCAAUGUUCUGCCACAAGAUGGAUAAGAAAAUCUGGACCCUCAACAACGAUGGCCUCUUCAGUGUAAAAUCUUGCUCCAAAAUGAUGGACCAGUUACUCUACGGUGGAGCCAAACCAUUCCAAUCUUCUGUUUGGAUAAAACUAACCCCACCAAAAGUGCAGCUUUUCCUUUGGCUCCUUGUCCAAGACAAAGUAACCACAAGAGAUUUCCUAUUUCAACGCGACUACCUCUCCCUUCAGGAGUCAAGAUGUGCUUUCUGCAAUAAAAGCUUGGAAUCUUCAAGUCACCUCUUCAUUCACUGCCACUUCUCUUGGAAUAUAUGGAUGAAACUGUUUUCUAAUCGGGGCUUUUGCAGUGUUUUUCCAAAAUCUGUUGAUGAUAUGUGCUACCAAUGGUCUUCUAUGGUUAAAGGCAAGCAACAAAAUCUCUCAUGGCAACUUCUUUUCUCAUGCGUUGUUUGGAAUCUUUGGCUUCAUCGAAAUGAUGUUAUUUUUAAUGACGCUGCCCCUAACCAUCAAAUCUGUUUCUCCAUGGUGCGCCAAAGUAUUGCUUUAUGGUUGAGGCUUGACUCCAACUCUUUCGAGCUUAACAUAGAGAAUGUUUAGUCGGGAGGAGUUGGUUUCUUUUGAUUUGUCUGUUCUCCUUUUGUUGUUAUCCCCUGUUUCAUGAAACAGUUUUUGUGCUUCCCUUUCCUCUGCUUGUUCUUCUGAUGUAAGUUAGGCUACUAUCUUUGUAGCUUUUUCCUUUUAAUAAAAUUUCGACUAUUAACAAAAAAAAAAAAAAAAGGUAUCAGUAUGAUUGGAGUUUGGAAAUUGAUGAACAAUGGGGAUUGGAGUUGCUGGUGAUGCAUGAUUUUGAGCUAGAAUUGCCCCUCUCGAUACGAAACCAGGUGCCUGAUAGAUAAAAUUAGGUUUCAAUACGAGUUCGAAAUAUACUGCAAAUGAGGGAAGUAAUGAGGAGCUUACAGGUGAAAACAAGACCCCUCUGAAAAUCUUCCCAUUAACAGUUGCAGUCAUUAGAAGGCCUAAGUCGAAGGCUCCGUCAACUUUACCUCGAACUUCAGCACCAACCUAUGGAGAAAGAGAAGAAAGUGAAAAGCAAGUAUUAGCAGAACAGGAAGGAAGACAGACAAAAAAAUUUGUAAUUGACAAUGUUUUGCAUUGCAUAUAUCAACUUAAUGAUUUACCAGGUUUUGAGUACACCCUGGCUCCAUGGAUCUAUGUUCCACUGCUGGGAAUGGUGUUCCUUGCCUGCCAAACCCUGCAUGAACAUAUUGUUCUACUCUUUUAUUCUCUUGAAACUUGGAGCCUGUGCCGGGUUUUUUGGAUCACAAGUCUAGGUAGUUUCUGAUUACAUGCAACACUAUCAGCCUGGUAAUUUCUUGGAAUUUUGUAUAAUUAAAUAAUCUAAUCUUAAACCACUACUCCAAUUGUUGAUAUAAAAGUUUAAAACCGAUCUAAUUAAAAGAAUUCAAAAUUAAGUGUGAAAAAUAACUAAAAUAAAAAAUUAAUUCAAAUAACAAAAACAAAAUCUUUUGCAUCUGAUUUGAGAAAAUUUAUGUGGUGGAUGACCGAGCCUGUAAAAUUAUAUGAUAAAAUUUAAGUAUAAUUUAAAAAUUAAAUUUAAAAUUAUUUUUAUCAGGUUUUAUGUCUAAUGUGUUGAAUUUGUUUAUGGAUUUCUAUUCAGGCUUAAUCAUAAACGUCUUUGUUUACACGUCAUAAUUAAAGCAUAAAAUGUCGUGUAAGCCGAUGCUUGACUUUUUUAAAAAAUAAUUUAGUUUCGGUUGACUCACAAAAUUGAGACAUCUAGCUAGUCACUCAUGGCUUUAGACGUACCUCUUGUAAAGAUAUCAACGGCUUUACGUCUACCAAGUGUCAGAAGAUUAGAGAUUGAUAUUGUUAGAAUGUUGUUAAUAUUGUUUGUUAGCUAAGAGAGUUUGUUAGUAUUGUUUCAGUGCUAAGAGAAAGAACAGAUACCGUGUAUUACCUUUCUAAUAUAGCCUAUAUAAACUGAGGAUUAGUGAUGUGAAAAUAAUGAAAGAAAAAGUAAUAAUAAAACAGUGCGAGACUUCAUCUUCUGCUUCUCUGUAACAGAAUUAUUCUAUAUUCUUCUUCCUUUCUAUUCUCUGCACUUUCUUCAUUUCUGCUCCUUUUCUGUAUAAAUUCUACCGUCUAUCAUGGUAUCAGAGCAGUAACUGGUCCGAUGGGAUGUCUUCUGAUUGUCAAGAAUUAUACUGGCGAUCGUCUAAAUUUUGGUUUGGCUGCUAAGCAAGCAAAAUCUGAAGGUUAUAAAGUAGAGACUGUAAUUGUUGGAGAUGACUGUGCUUUACCUUCACCUCGAGGCAUAGCUGGACGAAGAGGGUUGACGGGGACUAUUCUUGUUCAUAAGGUUGCUGCAGCUGCAGUUACUGUUGGCCUUUCUCUUGAUGAAGUUGCUGCAGAAGCGAAACGUGCAUCUGAAAUGGUUCUAAUAUCUUGCUAAUCUCUGUUUCUGUAGAGAGAGCAAUACGGUCUCUUAAGAUUCAUACUUCUCAACAAGCUUGCACAAAGAGUCACUAAAUUGCUUUUGGCCACUUGCCAGAGCAAGUACGAUAGUCUUCUCCAUCAAAUCCUGAAGAAGAUCAAUAUAUAACAAAGAGUCGCCGCCAAUGUAUUACCAGCAGCCAUUAAUCUCUGUUUCUGGCAUUAUUAUCUCCUUAUCUACACAAUUCUUUCAUAAUAAUCGAUAUGUCUAUCAUUUGUUUGAUAUAUUGUCAAACUGAAAAAUUCUUCUUCAAAUCUUCAACUUUCUGCAAGAUUCUUCCUUCUCAAUCUUUGAUUCUCUUCUUUUCUAUCUCUUGCACUCUAAAAAUGGCGACUACUUCUCAACUUCAGAUAGUUCAACUCUAAUAAGAGAAUAUACACAUAAACGUUUUCUUCUUCCUCUACACUACAUAAUUUCUCUCUGCUUCUCUUCAUCUCUAUUCUCUGCUUUUCUUCUCUUCAUCUAUAUUGCUUCUAUUCUCUGCUUUUCUAUUGCAGUAUCUCCCUCUAAUUCUAUUCACUUCUUUGUUCAUCUCUGUGACGAUUCUUGCUAGCUUUUCAAAAUAUUUCUUCUAUCUCCAUUGCUUCCAAUCCAGUGUUCCAUUCCAGGAUGAAACAUCUCCAGAUCGAUUAUCACUUUGUUAGGGAACGGGUUAUCAAGGGUGAUUUACUGGUCCAGCAUGUCUUCUCUACUGAUCAGUUUGCUGAUAUCCUCAUCAAAGGUCUUUCCAUUUCUUUGUUUCAGCAUCAUUGUUCCAAUCUCAUGCUUGGCUCCUCCAAGCCUGCGAUUGAGGGGGCAUGUAAAGAUAUCAACGGCUUUACGUCUACCAAGUGUCAGAAGAUUAGAGAUUGAUAUUGUUAGAAUGUUGUUAAUAUUGUUUGUUAGCUAAGAGAGUUUGUUAGUAUUGUUUCAGUGCUAAGAGAAAGAACAGAUACCGUGUAUUACCUUUCUAAUAUAGCCUAUAUAAACUGAGGAUUAGUGAUGUGAAAAUAAUGAAAGAAAAAGUAAUAAUAAAACAGUGCGAGACUUCAUCUUCUGCUUCUCUGUAACAGAAUUAUUCUAUAUUCUUCUUCCUUUCUAUUCUCUGCACUUUCUUCAUUUCUGCUCCUUUUCUGUAUAAAUUCUACCGUCUAUCACCUCUAACUUCGCUUACUAUGCUUAUUAUGCAAAGCAAUUAUUUUCAAGCUUGUGGAACGGGGUGUUCCUCCAUCUUCUUGUUUAACUGCUUUCUUCAUAAACUUGGGAAGUCAUGUGUUAUGAACAAUUGAUUUGAUCUUGUGAAAUAUAUGGCAGAAGAGAUUAGAAAAUGACUUCUAUUAUCAAUAAUUUCUUCUUCCUUGUGAAAUGAUUUCCCGAUACAGCUCUUAAUUUCAACACCUGCUUGCUCUUCUUUUCUUAGUAGACCUGGGAAGCAAAGAUUCCUAAUUAUCCACAUCAUCAAUCGCGAUCCCAUCAAAAAUGAAUUUGGUGGAAGAAAGAAAAACAAAUUGAAAGAAAAAUUAUCAAUUAAGAUUUCAUGUCGUCACAAAAAACAAUUACGAGCUUCAUAAGAUAAUUUUAGCUAGUUUGUCUUAAACUCAUUAGAACAUCCUUUAAUCUUCAACUGCUGUCAUUUGAGAUUUCAUGUUUGUGUUUUCAAUUAAGAUUACACAUCCAUUUGUCAGAAAUACGCACCAAUAUUCCUUAUUACCUAACCUUAAUCCUGUAAUUCUGAUUCUGAACUGCUCUUUACACUCCUUUUCCAUCGAUCAAUACAGAUCAAUCUUUAUUAUUUGCUCCAGGUUGCUGCUGCUGGUUACUCUGUCAUGGAUUAUUAUUUUUCAGUAGUCAGUUAUCCUAGUGCUUGCUUGGACAUGCUCAACAAUGGAGUUUCUCUAAAUGUAAUUCCCACAGUGAAAUCUUCUGUCAAAGUCAUUUCAAGCCGGAAAAGAUCAGGAAAAUGCAGUCUUGAAACAUCAAGCGAAUAGUGCCCAGCAGGAAAAAUUCGUUUCUACUAACAAAUGGAAUGUAAAGUUGAUCCAAGGAUGCUACUAACUUACAAGAAAUUAAAUCAUCAAAGAAAAAAUAUCCACUAGAAGAAGUGUUCUUUCCUUCUAUUUAAAAAGAAUUCGAAAUUUUACUAGACCCUAAUAACAUGAAGUAAAUCUGUUUUUUUUACUCUUGGCUUGUUCUCAAAAAUUUUAUUGAUAUUAAUUAAAUAACAAAGACAAUGAUGUAGCUAGUAUGAACUAUGAAAAUUGAGAACGAGAGGGAUGAUCAGGAAUGGAUUAAGAAAAAUGGGCUUGAAAGAGACCCAACAGGAGAGAAAAAUCUAAAAUAAACUCUUGAUGUCUUUCAUAACUCAAUUUUUGACUCUUUUUAUUUUAUUAUUAUUACUAUUAUUUUAUUUAUUGAAAAAUGAUAAUAAAAAAAAUAAUGAUGAAAAGAAAAUAAAAAAUGAAGAAUAAAUUAAAAUUAGGUUAAGGCAACAUGAUUGGAAGUUUUGGGGAUUAAUUAAAGUUUGGAAUUAAUUCAAUCAAGGGUUUAAUUGGAGAAUUGAUAAGUUUUGAGAUUAAUUGAGUUUGGAAUUAAUUGAAUUAAUGAAAAUCAAGGAUUUAAUUAGAGAAUUGACAAGUUGUUAGACUUAUUUGAACUUGGAAUUAAUUUAUUCAUGGACUUAAUUGAAAAACCAUCAAAGUAUAGGGCUGAUUAUGGUCAAAUUUGCAAGAAAUUAAAACCCAAGGACCAAUGUGUAAAUGGCGCUGAGAUUCAGGGGUUCAAUUACAAUUUACCCAAGGACUGGACUGCAAAAAGUCAACAUGUCUAGGAUGAAAACGCAAAAGGCCAUUAACAUCAGCACUGUUCAUCUUCUUCACCCGAAAACGCAUGCCUUUAUUGCAUUAAAAUCCAUGCAACCGCAUGGCAUUCUCUGGUUAUAAAAACCAGAGAAGGAGAACGAGCACCAGGUUAGAGAGGGGGAGAGGAGAAAAUAAACAGACUUUCAUUCCUCUGUUUCUUCUUAAGGAAACAGAGGAGGUUAAAGAAAAAAGCAACAAACAGGAGGAAAAAAGAGCAAAACCGGGGGGAAAAAGGGAGAGAAGACAGAGAGAGUGAGCGACCGAAAAGGGGAAAACAAAAGGAAAAACUGAGAGACAGGGGAGAAAAGGCAGAACCGAGGGGACUAAAGGGGGGGAAUAAAAGAAGAAAACAGAGGAGACAAAAACCGGGGAGAGGGGGAGACACAGAAUCAGUUUCAACCAUCUCUUCACCAUCUUCAACAACUCUUCAGCCUCCAGGAACCCAGACAGGAGAAGAAACCCCAUCGACUUGCUUUGGGAAGACGCAGAGUUACAGAAUAGAGAGCGGAGAAGCAUACGAAAAAAAGAGGGGGGCAAGCUUCCAUUCAACCGACAGCACCUAGCAUCUUCAUCACCAUCGUUGAUGUCCUGAGCAGAGGAAACACAGAAGGAAGACCAAGGAAAGCAGUAGACAAGAGUCACCACCAGCGUCACCACUGUUUUUGUCGCCUCCAGAAGCAGCAGCUUCAGAUCUCCAUCUUCAGUAGCCACUGCACCAGAAACAGGGCACUCCAGGAGAGAAAUACAGGGAAGAACCGGGGAAGAAAAGGAGAAAGAGAAGGAAGAAGAGAGGAAGAACAAGAGGUGGCAGCGCCGUUCGUCCAGCGCAGUGCGCCAUCGUCUCCGGCUACGCCUUGCUGCACCAGGUAAGUCUUCUCUCGUCUCUCCCCUCCUGCGUUAUAUUUCACUUGCCACUCUAGCAAGUGAAUUAUAAUUAAUUCACUACCCAACCGGGUCACUGGCUUCGGCCAGUGACCAGACCAGGAAUGUUGGGUCUACCUAGCCAUGUAGGCUGGAUCAGACCCAGCCCCACAAAAAAAAUAAAAAAAAUAAAAAAAAAAACAAAAAAAAACUAGAAAGUGUAGAAAUAAAAAUUUUACAUGUCUUAGGAAAAAUGUAUUUUUGUCAAUUUAUUCACUGAUAUUAGGAUCAGAAAUAAAAAAAAAUAUAUACUGAUUUUUUUUUAGCUAUGAAUUUCUACACCAGAGUUGGAAUUAUUCAUGGUGGAAUUUUUACCAACGCUAGAUUUGGAAUUAUUCGUGGUGGAAUUUUUAAACUCUAGAGUUGGAAUUAUUUGGGGUAGAAUUUUUACCAACACCAGAGUUGGAAUUAUUUGAAAUCGAAUAUUCACUGACACUAAAGUCAGGAAUAUUAUAAACAAAUCAUCAUAGCAUAAGCGAAUAAAUGUUUAGUAAUUUAAGACAAAACCAGCAAUGCAGUCUGCCUCAGGCAGAACAUUUAAAGGGUGAUAAUAUCUUCCCUUUUACAUAACCAAUCCCGAACCAUAGAAUCUCUGUUGACUAGUUAGGGUUUCUAGUGGCGACUCCUUAAACAAGAUUUUUUUCCCCUAAAAGAACAAGAUGCCAGAAAUCUAUUUUUUAUUCUUUUUCCAUAAUGAAGAUUAUUUUUAGAGCCGCCGGGUGCGACAAUGUUUAAAAUAGCCUAGAAGUAGGGCUUAGAUAGCUAGGGCUGAGAAAAUUGCCAAAAUAGGUAAAUACUGAUUAUUCAAUAAAUAAAUAAAAUAUUGCCUUGUUUUAAGUUUAGACUUAUGUUCUUUCAGCAAACAAAAUUAUUGUAGAACCACAUUCCACCUUGCUGGUAUGAUCCUGUGGUUCUAUCAAUUAUUUUAUUAAUUGAGAAAAUACUGUAAACUAUUACAAUUGUGAAUAAAUUCCAUAUUAUUAGGGAUAUAGUAAUCACAAGAAGCCAAGAAAUCUAAGAGCAAAACGCAACAUAAUUAAGACAUAACAAACAAAUAUGGAUACAAGCACAAGAACAAACACAAGUCACAUCAAAACAGAAAGGCUAAGCAACAAGAACCGGACACUUCGACAGAACACUUCUCACAGGCAAAUUGCUAAACAUGCAGUGAUCAACCCUUGAUUUGGAAUGCGACUGCAUCCCCAUAGAGGAUCACAACAAAUUCAGAAAGCAGCCCACACGCUGAUAAGACCCAAUCACCUUUUGAAUCUGGACAACUUGCGAAAGUUUAUAGCCAAAAAGCAGUAGCAAGUGUCAAUGCACUCUUCAAUGAAGUAAAACCACCUGCGUCGCCAAUGCGGAUUUAUGCACAGUACUGCUGCAAUUGUCAACACCACAAUUAUGUAAAACACACCAAAGCUGGCAUAGAAACUGUCCAUGUCUAUUAAUCCAUCAUCUCCAUUGGAAUUGUUAGGCACUCUCACUGAUGGUGAUUCUGUUUUGUCGCAACUGUUUUGCAAUGGAGGUCCACAAAGAAGAGGAUUCCCUUUAUAACUGCUCUCAUCAAAGGUAGCAAAUUGAUAUUUCAUCUCCGGUGUUCUUCCUGACAAAUUAUUGUACGACACGUUGAAAACUGCUAGAAAGUUCAGUUCAACGAGUUGUGCAGGAAUUCUCCCAUUCAAGUUGUUGUGAGAAAGAUCCAAGCUCUCUACGUGCUUCAGAUUGGAGAAAGAUGAAGGGAUCAAUCCCGUGAGAUUAUUUUGUGACAGAUUUAGAGCGAAUAUGUCACUUAAGUUUCCCCAUUCUGUCGGGAUUUCUCCAGUGAAUCUAUUACAAGACAGAUCCAUAGCAGACAUGUAACGAAGGAUAUCGCCCUCGUAAGUGUAGAAAUUUUUCUUUGCUGUAAGCUCUACAGCUAUUUUUACAUCAAUCUCUGGCCACAUAGUUUUGCUAUCAAUAUGAAAACCUCUGUUACCCAAUUUUCUCCCCCCUAUGGAUGCCAAUAUUUCUUUCUGGCUUCCAUCAUCUUCUGACACCGUAUCUGUGACGACCAAAGUUUUUUCACCCGAUGCCGUAAAAUUUAAAUUGCUUAAACAUAAGGGUAACGGACCAGAAAAAUUAUUUUCUGAAAGAUCCAAUAUGCUUAAUUUCCUUAACAAGCAUACCUGAACAGGAAGUUCCCCAUUGAAUUGAUUAGAUUUCAGAAGAAGAAUGCUCAAUUUCGAUAGUCUAUCAAUCCAAUUUGGAAUUGGCCCAGUUAAGUUGUUAUUGCCAAGAUCUAAUGUCACCAAAUGAGAGCUAUUAUAAAAAGCAUUUGGCAGUGGACCACUCAAUCGAUUUCUGUAUAGGUGGACAUAGCGUAAAUAUGGUGUUUGGAAGCCCAACGACAAUGACCCAGACAGAUUGUUUUCAGAAAGAUCUAAAAAUUCAAGCAAAUAACAUCUGAAAAGCUCUAUUGGAAUGGUACCUUCAAAAUGAUUUCUGGACAAGUCAAUUCCCUGCAAGAAUAUUGAAGAGUUCCCAAUUCCCUUUGGAAGCGUGCCUGACAAAAGAUUGUUACUGAUAUCAACCAACCAAAGUGAUGAUGCAAGAGAAAAGGUGCCAGAUACUUGUCCAACAAAUUUGUUUCCAUCUAGAAAGAGGUAACGCAGGUGAGUCAUGUUGAAAACAAAAGGCGGUAAUCGCCCUUUGAAAUUGUUAUUGGACAGCUUCAAAAACCACAACGAGGAGCCUCCUGUAGGCAAGUUAUGCUCAAGUAGUUCACAAGUCAUAUGAUUGUUGGAAACAUCCAAGUAUGCGAGAGAGCUCAUAUUCCCAAAAGGAGGAAUGCAACCUGUAAGGUUGUUGUUAGCCAUCAAGAAGUUCUUCAAACGUGGAAAAAUCAAACAUGUGUUUCUUGCAAUUUGACCAUGGAUGUUGUUGUCAGAAAUAUCUACUGUCCGAAGGUUGGGUGUUGGAUGUUGUGGCAACUGCAAAGGACCUGUAAUUGAGGUGUCUCUCAAAUAUAAUCGAUUUAACAUUCUAUUAUUCUCAACCAGCCAUGAUGGGAAAGGUUGUCCAAUGAAUUUGUUGUGGGAUAGAUCAACAAACAUCAAAUCAUAUUGGCUAUGGAGGAAGUUUGGAAAUCCAGCCUUGAGUGGUUUUGAAGUACAGUUUGAAGCACUGAAAAAACGAAGCUGGAACUUGGUAGCUGAAGGCUGAAAACUGGGUGCAGGUAUUAGCUCAUUGUUAUCGCAUGCAAUGAACUUGAGGUUGGAGUGGUUCAUAAAUGAACCAAAAGAUAUUGGAACUUGAAAGUAAUUAUUUGAAACUGAGAGGUAUUCAAGCUGCGUAAGAUGGGAGAGGUGACUAAAGGCAAUAUUUCCCUCCAAUUGAUUGUCAGAUAAAUCCAAGAAUUGUAGAAAUGAUAGAUUUCCAAGACAAGGAGGGAGCAAGCCCGUUAGUUUGUUUCCUGAGAGAAAUAGCUGUUCAAGAUUCGUCAGUUCACACCAGCCUGCACAUUAUAUCCAUAUGUUCAUGUCAAGGGAAUAGGAAUAUAUCAAUUAUGUACUAUUCGUUGAGAGAUCUAUUCGAAUACAAGUUUAUUAGCGAUUUAAUUUACCUUGGUGAGGCAGGGUGCCAUUUAGCAUACAGCUUUCCAGAGACAAAAUUCUGAGAGCAGGAAACGGUCCAAUAUUUAGAAGAAAACUUGCUGUCAUGGGAGAAGCUCGAUCCAGGAAUAGCUCUUCAAGUUUGGUGAAAUUCUGCGGUCCUAAAGGAUUAAGAAAGGUGCGUUCUUAAUAUCAUUUGAGUUGAGAUUGAAGGAAGCGGAAACAUAAAGGGAUUGGGUUAUUAAAAAAAAAUUAUUAUGGGAAAUUAAAAUCAUUUCCGACAUAAAUUUCUAUUUUAUUGAUCCAUAUGUAUAACCAGCUUAUAAAAGGAAAAACGGAGAAAUUUUUGUUGAUAAAAUUACUAAAUAUCGUCAUAAACGUAAUGGUUUAAUAACAUGAAAAUUCUUUUAUUCUUUCAUGGGAAAUUUUUAGAUUCAUCAUUUGACACAUAUUUUUGCUAUCCGAAGAAAGGAGCUUGAGAUUUGAGUGGUUCAUAAAUGAUUCAACUACUUAACAAAACUGGGACUUGAUUGUAAGACACAUCCACCAGUUGUAAUAGAUGACAAGUUUCUCAAACAAGUUGUGAUGAGGGACACGUAUCUACAAGUUUAAACUCAGAAAGAAGUCUGAAUGUGUCAAAUAAUCUUUUAAUUACCUUGAGCAGGUCCGGUGCCAUGGAAGUCAGCUCUGGUCAAGGAUAAAACUUUAAGAGUAGACAAGGGUCCAAUGUUCCGAAGAAAGCUUGUUGGGAGAGAAGAAUAAUCGAGGAACAUUUCUUCAAGGCUAGUCGAAUUACACAAUCCUGUGGAACAGAUAAGAUAAAUCCAUUAAUGAAAGUGAUAUAUAAAUAUCAUGUUUUAGGCUCCAAACUGUAACUGACCUUUACCAGAGUGUAUUCCUUUAAAUUUGCUCCCAGUAGCAUAUAAGCUCUUGAGGGAUGGCAACGCUCCCAAUGACUCUAUCAAAAUGCUUUCCUUGAAGUCAAUUAUUUCCAGAUACAAGAUUUCUAAAUUCCUCAAACCUGUGAUGGAGAGCACAAUUAAUAAUAAUGGCUUUUUUAUUUUUUAUUUUUUAUUUUUUCCUGAUUCCAAGUGGUACAGAUAUGUGUGUUCUACAAUUUGUUUUAUUUAUGUGUUGUCAUCUGGAAUAAUUUGGAGCACUAUCGUAGAAUGAGCAGGGGUGCAUGCAGAGUAAUUGAUCUAGCAGUUUCCGGCUGCUGUGUUCUACAAAUUUUUGUUCUUGACUUUUUGUUUGCUCUAUCUAGUUGGAAGUUUUAGCUCAAAAUUGUUGAUAUAAAUAAUUUCUAAUGUUAAAGAUUAAUAUAUAAUUAUUAUUAGAAACUUACCCAACAAUUUAAGUCUUUGAAUUAAAUUAAUUUUAAUAUGAUAUUAGAAUUUUAAUAACCAAAUGUUUAUGAAUUUAAAUCAUCUCACCUCCAUUCCUUUAAUAUUUUUUAAAAAAUAAUCAGCACUAGCGAAAGGUAUACCAUGUAAGAAUCCAUAACUAUUUCACUUGAAAAAAUAUGUUAAAGGAAUUAAUUAUAUAAAAGCAUUUAUAGGGCUUCAUUCAUCUGCUUGAUGAUUAAUGCACAGCUAAUUAUUAAAAAAGUUAACAAAAUAAUAAAUUAAGCCUCUCUAAGGAAUGUCAUCGAGGUAGGAAUGAUUUACCAUUGAGACCAAUUGAUCCUGUAAACUUAUUUUUUGAUAGAUGUAGAGAUUUGAGAGUUGAAAAACCACCGAGAGAUGAUAAAAUACUAUCGUUAAAUUUAUUGUCACUCAGUUCAAGUUCCUGCAAUUCCCUCAACCCUGAUGCUAGCUCGUGAAAACCUAUAAGAAAAUUGUCAAAAGCAAAAAAAUUAACAAAUAUAUAUAUUUCAACCAUCCAUUAUCCAUAAAAGUUCAAUGAAAUAUAAAUUUAUGUAUUAAUUUUUUAUAUACCAAUUGUUCCUGUGAACCUAUUGUUUGAUAGAUGUAGAGAUUUGAGAGUUGAAAAACCACCGAGAGAUGAUAAAAUGUUGUCGUUAAAUUUAUUGUCACUCAGAUCAAGUUCUUCCAACUUUCUCAACCCUGAAGCUAGUACUUGAAAACCUGAAAGAAAAUUGUCAGAAUAAAAAAGAUUACACCUGAAAUUUAUUUUUCAUUGAACUUUUUUGGAUAUUGGGAUAUUGUAUGAUAUAUAUACCCCAAUAUCCAUAAAAGUUAAAUGUAAAGUUACUUGAAAUAUAACUUGAAGUGUUAACUAAAAACAAUUGAACCUUGAUUCUCUAAGACACCAUCUAAUCGGUUGUCGCUUAAGUGGAGAAUCUCCAAUUCUUUGAAAGGCAGAAACAAAGAUGCAUUGAGAUCCAAGUCUUCGAAUGGAAAAGAACUUACACCUGAAAGAUGAAGUUCGAUCACUCGGUUUGUGGUGCUGUCGCACACAACCCUACCCCAGUUACAGCAAUUAAAAUGCUCUUUAUCCCAACCUUUUGAUAGAGGUAGUAUAGAUAACCCAGCAGUUGCAUGACUGAACCAAGCUUUUAUCUCUAAGAGACUAAUUCUCUCUUCCUCUAAACAACAAUGGCACCGCUCGUUGACGAAGGCCAGUGCCAUGAGCAGCAUCCACACCCACAUUUGCCUCAUCUUCAUAUUGACUCUCCUACUUGACAAAAUACAAUAGCAAUCAAGUUGUCUCUUAUAUACAAUUUUGUCCUCUUCAUGCAUUUGAUCGGACAGUGACAGUUAUCUGUAUCAUUGAAUUAAUUAUCCAAGGUAGACUUGGGCUUAAUUGAAUGGGAGAGUCUUCACGGACAGUGCUAGCCGUGGGCCCGCACCACGGCACAGAUCAACGUGGUUGUUGAUAUAUAUUUUUUUGUUAUACUAUCUUAUUAUUUAAUUCUUUUUUGUUUUUAUGUUUUAUGUUUCCCUGAUCUACUAUUGCAUUUAGUACCUUAACAAUAUGCAUUCAUUGCCAUCUAGAAUUUCAUUCAAUAGAGCGAUUAAUCAAGAAACUUAUUAUUGACUUUCAUUUAAAUUAGAAUACAUGAAUAAUUUAUGAGUUUGAAAAAUGUUAUCCAUCCAUAUUAAUUACACAAAUUUUAAAAUAAAUUGCAAUUAAGUUUUUCCAAACAAAUAUCAUUACAUAAGGAAUACGUACGUACUCAAGACAUAGGAAGCCAAGUUUCCAAGAUAAUCCAUUAUUCAAUUUUGUGAAUGAUGAAACUUUUCAAGAUAAUCCUUAUAUAAUAAGGUUUGAUCAAUUUUUUCGAGAUUGUGUUAUCAUAAAUCACAUAUCGUUUAAGUUUCCAGCUUAUAAUAAUAAUUUACACGAAUUAUUGGUGAGAAAUCUCCAAAAUCAUUUUAAAAAAGACAAAUCUAUAUGUCUUAUAGUGCUAUCUCUUUUUUUGUGUUUUCAAAUGUUUUUGUAUUAUGUGUACAUUAUAUCAUCUCUCAUACACAAAAUAUGAGACAUAAUAUUUUAUUUUUAGGAAAAAUCUAAUAAUCCCAUAAAUGAUCAAAUAUCAAUUUGCUUUCCCUAAAUAAUAUCACAUAUAUUAUUUCAAAAUAGUUUUAGAAAUUUGUUCAAUCAAGUCUGUACUUAAUUUUUCUAGGUUUAUAAUUGUAAUCACGUGUAUCAACUUCACUUUAGUUCUUAAUUUCUAAAACUUAAUUACAAUCAAGUCACAUUUAAUUAAUCAUCUCAUUUUAAUUUUUGAUCAAUGAUUUUUAAUGUGUGUGGCCAAUUGAGUUCUUAACAAGUUGGCUCAAAUAUAAAUAACAAUCAUAAAUAAAAUACAAUUAAACAAUUUAACAAUUUAACUUAUCAUUAAUUUAACAAAUUAAUUAAUUAAUAUUUGAAAAUCAAGUGCAAUAUUUAAUAACAUGUCAUAACCCUCUAAAUAUUAAAAAGGUCAUACAUGUUUUGACUUAACUUUUUAUUGACUAGUUUCUCAAAGUAAUUAUUAUCCCUUUAUUAAGAAUAUUUUAAUUUAGAUAUUAGAGCACAAAGUAUAUAUGUUCUAUCAAAUCAAAUUUAUUAUCAACAUCAUAGUCAUAGAUUAUUUGAAUAAGAUUUGAAACUCUUUACAAAUCUUAUUACACCUUGCACAAUGAUUUCAUAGUCAAUACUAUUUGUCGCACGUGUAUGGCAUCGCGGCGAUCGUCCACCCUCAAGGAAAAAUGUAAUGGACUAUCUGGUAAAUGUGGAGAGACAAGGAAUUCUUGUCACUUAUCAAUGGAAAAUUUAAAUAGGAGUCGCCACCUAGUAUUCUAGUCACUAGGAACCCUAACUGGUCUUAGAGAUCGGAUACGGAGACUGGUUGCGUAAAGGGAAUGUAUUAGCACCCCAAAUACUCCCUACCUAAGGUAAGCUGCAUUGUUUUGUCUAAUAAAAUCUAAAGUCUUGUUGUGGUUUCUAAUUGUCGGUCCGUUUACAGUUUAAGAAAAGUCCUCUGUAAGGAGAUCCUUAUCUUAUCAGGUAAAACCUAAUUAUUUUAAGUUGUCAAAAGAAAAUACCUUUUUAAUAUCGGGAAUACAUUUUACGUAUAAAUUCAUAAUCUUUGAUACUAAAAUCAAACAAAAUAAAAAUUUUUUUUGUUUUUGAAAUUUUGGUCAAUGUUCUCUUCACUUUAAUAAACUGGUUAUUAAAGCCACAAUGCAUGCUAAAUUUUUUUUUUUUCUGGUGUAUGAAAAACACAAUAUGAUUUUUUUAGCUUUUGAGACACUUGUCCAUAUACACAAAAAGAUUUUUUCUUUUUCUCAAUUUUUUUUGUAUUUUGGAAGUUUUAACAAAAAUCGGGUAUUUUAAUAUCGAAUUUGUAUGUUUACGACGCAAAAUACUGACCGAUAUUAAGCAAAACAAAAGACAUAAAUCAAAAGGAGGAAAUCAGAAAAUAUUAAAAAUAUUUUUUUAAAAUGGGCCGGACCCAGCCCAGAUCAAUGGGCUGGGCCGGACCCAGCCCAGAUCAAUGGGCUGGGCCAGACCCGACCCAAAAAACUAAUGGGCUGGUUACUGUGUAUAAGCACAGUAACCAGCCCUUCACUCUUUCCUGCAGAACGUGAAUUAUUCAUGUUUUGCAUGCAAAUACAGGCAGGGACAAGAAGAGGAAAAUGAAUGAGGCAGCAGGAGGUUACCUAGGGUGGCGUCGAGGCGGUGUUGCUGGCAGCGGCAGUGCUACUAUCGUAGUGGUAGUGUUGGUGGCCGGCGGUGCUUCUCCUUUUUCUUCCUCUCCCUCCUUUGUUUUUUUUUUAUUAUUAUUUCUUUUUCUUUCCUUUUCUCCUCCUCUUUUCUGCUAUGUCUUGUCUCAUCUCUUCUCUUCUCUCUUAUGUUCCUCUAUUUUAUUUUUUUCUUCCCUCCCCUCUGUUUUUUGUUCUUUUUUCGGGUCUGUUUUUCUUCUUCUCUUUCUCUCUUCUUCCUUCUUUUUCUCUGCUCUUUUCAGUCCUCUUGCCUAUCUGCUCUCUUGUCUCUCUUUCUCUCUCUCAGUUUCCCCACCUUUCAUCAUGCUCUCCCCCUCUGUAUUUAUAGGUGAAAACAAAGGGGGGGGGGAGAGGUCGAGGUGGCCACUGUGUUGCCACCCCAAACCGCCCAAGGGGUACGUCCCCUCCAUUCUUCCACCACGUGGCAAGCAAAUGGGUUGUAUCGGCAUCUUUUUUAGCUUUAAGAGAGAGAGGGAGCUAGUGAAAACAGGGGAAUAAAACCUUCUUCUUCCCCUAAUUUCUACACAUCGAAGGGAAGAAAGGUUGUAUCGUUCAAAAAGGCACCAUUUUGGGCUUUCUCUCUUUCUUUGUUUUUAUGAACAGUAUAUGAAACGACGCUGUUUUGGUCAAAAUGCGUCAUUUUAUUUAAAUGGAUUUUGGUGCCAAAACGUGUCAAAUUCAAAAUCAGGCCUUCAAUUUGCAUGUGUUUUACAAUUUAGUCCUUGGUCUCGGAUUUCUUCAAUUAAGUCCCUAAUUGGCCAUCAAACUUCAAUAUUUAUGCAAUUAAGCCCCUAAUUUGACCAAAUUAAAUCUUAAAAAUUAUAUUUUGACCCCAAAACUUUAAUUUAUUUCAAUCAAGCCAAAUUAACUCCAAAAUUAAUUUUUCUUGCAAUCAAAACCUCCAUAAAUUCAAUUAAACCUUUAAGAAAAUUUAAUUGAGUCCAUAAACCUCUGAUUUUGGUCUUUUCUUUCUCAAAUUAAAUUUUCUUUGUCAACAGGGCUAUCAUCAGUCAACAAAAUAUUGUCAAAUUUUAAUUUUUGUAUUUUUAAACCUUCUCAACCAAUUUUUAACCCUUUUUUAGUGUUGCUGAAGACUGUGAAGAUGAUGGUCAACGCCGGUUCUCGUCUCUACGCUUUCAUCCGAUGGGCUGAGUUUGCGUCUCCUUUGCUCCUGGUUUGAGAUUCUGUCAACUUCAGUUCUGAGAUGAAGGGACAAAGAAGAUGGUGGGGCUGCUCCUUGUCUUUGCGUCGUUUCUCUGCUUUUAUUUUUCUCAGUUUUUUCGUUCCUCGGUUCUGCUUCCCCCCUCCUCUUCUUUCAUUCCCUGGCUUCUUAUAGAGCCAGAGAACGUGGUAAUCAGGGUGAGCCACGUUCCCACGAUAUGCAGUUACAGAUGUCCUGCUGAAACGGUCUUGAGCGACGAAGAAGGUGGAGCGUUUGAACUGGAAAUGGCAACUUUCGUUUUGGACCUUGAAUUUUAGAAAGUUUUGUAAUUAAGUCCCUAGUUAAAUUGUAAUUGGACCCCUGCAGUUUGGCAUCUUUUACAAGUUAGUCCUUGGAUUUUAAUCUGUUUGCAAUUGUGCCCCCAAUUAACCCCAAACUUUGCUAUUUUUCCAAUUAAGUCCUUGAUUUCAUUAAUUAAAUUAAAUCCAAGUCCAAUUAAGUCUUAAACUUAUCAACUCUCCAAUUAAACCCUUUGAUUUGAUAAAGUAAAUUAAUUCCAAACUCAAUUAAGUCUCAAAACUUAUUAAUUCUCCAAUUAAACCCUUGAUUUAAAUAAUUAAACUAGUCAAGAAUUUAAUUAAAUCUUUAAACUUCCAAUCAUGUUGCUCCUAACCCAAAUUUUAAUUCAUUCUUUAUUUAUUAAAAUUUUUACUUGUUUUUCAUUUUAGUAAAUAAAAUAAUUAAAAUAAAAGGUAAAAAAUUGGGUUAUGAUAAUUAUUUUUAUCAGAUUUUAUAUAUGAUGCAUCAAGUUUUUUAAUGUUAAUUGAAAAAAAAAUUAGGAUUACAUCCUAGUCGUAGAUAUGAUUAUUAUUCAUUUAAUGUUAAUAGAAACAUAUAUAUAUAUAUAUAUAUAUAUAUAUAGCAAAAGCAAAAGGUUUGAAUUGGUGGUUAAAAACAAAUAUUUUUUUAUUUUGCGGUUCCACCAGAUGCACCAAGUAAAUUAUUGUGAGGGUGCUCCCCUUCAGUAAAACUUUUUUUAAAAAUAAUUUAGUUUCGGUUGACUCACAAAAUUGAGACAUCUAGCUCAUGACUCAUGGCUUUGGCUUUAGACGUAGCUGUAACUUCGCUUACUAUGCUUAUUAUGCAAAGCAAUUAUUUUCAAGCUUCUGGAACGGGGCGUUCCUGCAUCUUCUUUUAUGGCAGAAGAGAUUAGAAAAUGACUUCUAUUGUCAAUAAUUUCUUCUUCCUUGUGAAAUGAUUUCCCGAUACAGCUCUUAAUUUCAACACCUGCUUGCUCUUCUUCUUUUCUUAGUAGACCUGGGAAGUCAAGUUUCCUAAUUAUCCACAUCAUCAAUCUCGAUCCCAUCAAAAAUGAAUUUGGUGGAAGAAAGAAAAAAAAUAAAAAAAUAUCAAUUAUUUUCAAGCUUGUGGAACGGGGUGUUCUUCCAUUUUCUUGUUUUAACUGUUUUCUUCGUAGACUUGGGAAGUCAUGUGUUAUGAACAAUUGAUUUGAUCUUGAAAAUGACUUCUUUCAAUAAUUUCUUCUUCCUUGUGAAAUAAUUUCCCGAUACAGCUCUUAAUUUCAACACCUGCUUGCUCUUCUUUUCUUAGGAGACCUGGGAAGUCAAGAUUCCAAAAUAUCCACAUCAUCAAUCUCGACCCCAUCAACAAUAGUGCCCAGCAGGAAAAAUUAGUUUCUGACGGUGAGAUGAUGCCAAAAUUGUAGUCAAAGAGACUUGGAACUCCCUGAUGAUGGUCUCUAGCUCUGGAGGUUUAUUCUGCCAAAAUUGCAUGGGCCGUUUUACAGCCUUCGUAAUGGGCUUGGCUACUUUGGGUAAUUAAAAAAACCCAAAUCGAUAAUGUUUUUUUUUUUUUCCUUUGGUAUCCGUUUAAUCAAUCUUCUGGUUUGAUCCUUGAUAGUGCUGUGUUUUGAUGCUUGUCGAUUAGCCACAAUAAUGUUAAAUUUACAAGGACAGAUCCAAGAAAAGCAAUGCAGGCCUGUAUUGGUCUCUGGGAGUCCCCUGAUAAAGGCUGCAAUCAUUGCUUGAACCCUUGUAAAGGGGCCUUUACACAUGAGGUCCACUGAAGAAGUACAACACCGUUUUUUUAUUUAAUUCUUAUGGUUUAAAUCUACUAAUAACUUAGUCAUUUUGCAUGCUAUUUUUCCACUUGUUUUGUAAAAUAGAGAAAAGAACAAAGUAAAUCUUUUUUUUUAGUUUAUGGCAUGUUCUCAAAAGUUUUAUUGAUAUUAAUUAAAUAAAAAAGACAUUGAUAUAGCUGAAAAUUGAGAACGAGAGGGAUGAUCAGGAAUGGAUUAAGCAAAAUGGGCUUGAAAAAGACCCAACAGCAGAGAAAAAUCUGAAAUAAACUCUUGAUGUUCAAAAUAGCCCACAAGCAAGGAAAAUUACCAAAAUAGGUAAAUACUGAUUAUUCAAUAAAUAAAGAAACUUCCUAGAAUAAGUGUGACAUCCUUUAAUGUUUUUACCUUUUAGAACAGUUUAUCCAGGUCGAUUCCACUUUGCUUCAACCGACCACAAUGAUCCCAUAUCCAUCUAUACAAAAAUCAAUUAAGCGGUCCAUUGACACAUUAACUUCUCUGGCUCCAUUCCGUCCUGGAUUAGCAAUCUUUCAACAUUGAGUGUUCUUCUUCUAAAAGCUACCUGAUCUUGUCAACCUAUGACAGAUCUAAAGACUUGAGAGCGGAAAGCCCAUUAAAACAUGAUAAAAUGCUUUUAUCAUUAUUAAAUCGGUUCCCACUUAGGUCAAGUACCUCCAGUUUUGAUGGUAGGACUUCGAAGCCUGGAAGAGAAACAUCAAAGCAAGAUAAUUGACAUUAAACACCGACCUUGAUUCUCAAAAUAAUAUAAAUUUAUUCUAUGAUUAUAAGAACAGAAAGAUUGAACCGACCAUGAUUCUCAAAGCAACCAACUAAUCCAUUACCGAUCAAAUCAAGACUUUGCAAUUCGUUAAAAGGCAGAAACAAAGAUGCGUUGAGAACCCAAUCCCCCAAACUCUCAUCCCUUGCACCAAUAAGAGAGAGUCGGAUCACUCGCCUUUGAGUGUUAUCACACUUGAUCCCAUACCACUCACAACAAUUACUACUGUACUCCGCCCAAUCUCUCAUGUAAAUGCUGUUUGGAUUGAUCAAAGGUUUGAUCUCCAUGAGACCAAUUCUCUCUUCCUCCAAACACCCAUAAGAACGACCACACCAUUUCGCCAUCCAAAGUCAAUAAUGUGACCAAAAUCCAAACCCACAAUAUCUUUUUCACCACCAUCUUAUAUUGUUCUAUAAACCACUACGUAGAAUUUUGUUGUUUGUUAUGUGAGUUUGGGCAACCCACAUUUGGUCCCAUUUAAAACACACUUUGGCCAUUUCCAUGAUUUUAUCUGCGUAUCCUGUGCAGGUUCCAUGAUUUUAUCGGGGAGUCAAUUUAAGUUAUUUUCCUGCCACUUUCUCAGCAGUUAUUCUCGUAGAGUCCUAUUUUGUGUUAAACGUUGGGUGCGUAUAAAGUAGUCAAAAGUAGGAUAUCCCGCUUUCUCCAUUGCUGUUCUGCAACAAUAUUUUGGUAGCCUUAUAGCACUCACUACUGGAGAAAUUGAGCUAAAGCAUAAAAUGUCAUGUACGCGGAUGCUUGACUUGCGGUGUGCCAUCUUGACUCUUAAACACCACCGAGCAGUAAUUUCAUGGUGAUUUCCUUAUUAAUACUGGUGGUCUUCCAGAAUCUUUAUCCAAACAACCCUUGCUAGACCGGGAUCGGGGUUGAUCAGGGAUAAGACUCGUGUCAUGACUUUUGAUGAGAUCACUAGGGCUCUGUUUGUUUGCAGGAAAGUGAAUUCCUUUUGGAAAGUGAAUUCCGGGGAAAGUGAAUUCCUGGAAAGUGAAUUCCGGGAAAGUAUUUUCCGAUGUUUGGUAGUGUUAUGGAAAAUGAACUGGAAAACACUUUCCAGUGUUUGGUUGUAUUAUGGAAAAUGAACUGGAAAAUAAUUUAUUAAUGAAUUAAUUUUUUUUUUAAAUUUAUCUAAUAUAUAUAUAAAAUAUCUAAUAUAAAAUAUUUAAUCACUUACAAUAAAAAAAAAUGAAAUCUAAAAUGUAUAAUGAUGAAUUUUUUUUAUUAUAUUCUAUAUUCAUACAUAGCUUAUUUUAUAAAAUAUAACUAUAUAUAUCAUAUCAUAUUAUAGAGAAAUAAGCUUGUGAAAUGUUUUUUACUAUUCCAUGAAACUAUUUAUAAUUCCAUUACGUACGAAAUAUAUCUGACAAAAAUUAUAGUUUUAAUAAUAUUUUUAGCAUGUAACAAAAUUGGAUAAAAUAUUAAGGUUUAAAAUUUACUCUAAACUAUUUUUUUUUAAUGUUAAAAAAAAUAGCACACUUAAAAAAAAAAAAAAAAGAAUCCUACAGGCAAGUGAACAGUGCAAGAGAACUGCACUGUUCACUAUUUUUCCAGUAAACAGUGUACGCAAUACACUGUUCAUGUUAAUUGCACUAUUCAUUGAACAGUGCAAUUAACAUGAACAGUUAAGAAAAAAUGGCUGCUUUUCACCGCUGGCCACUGUCGGAAAGUGUUUUCCUUUCUUUAACAAAAGAAAACACUUUCCUUUGGCAACACUGAUUUAUUUUCCAUUGACUGAAUUCAUUUUCCAUUGACUUUUUUUCUUGUUGUUGCCAAACACUGGAAAAGCAGGAAAGUGAAUUCCAGGAAUUCACUUUCCUGCAAUCAAACACGGCCUAGAUUAACUUUCAUUUUUUGCUAAUUUGGUUGAAGAAAGAAAUAUUUAGCCUGAUUUACUUCCAUAUUCAUUUUCUUUUUAAUACAUACAUGCUUGUAACAAGACAGGAUAAAAGCCAUGUAAACAAGGUAAUUAAAAAAUGUCUUCCGGCAAGUUUGUUUGUUUUUCCCCUUUAUUAUGAUAUAUAUACACGAAAGAAGAAAAUGCAUUGAUUAAAAUGCAUAGACCACCGUGUGGGCCAAUAAAAUGAAAACAAAAGACAAUAUCAAUGGUUUGCAAAAAAAGAAAAAAGAAAGUUUUCUGUUAAAUUUAUCUUUAUGUUAAUUACUUGAUUAACUAAACUUAAUCAUGUAAUAUUGAAUUAUUUGAUGAAAAACUUAUUUAAAACAGUAUUAAUUGACAUAUUUUAAAGUAAAAUAAAAAACAAACCCCGCUUACUUGCUUAUUUUUAAUGUGAAAAAUUAUUUUUUAACAUAAAUUCUUUAACAUAUUAACAUAAAAAAGUUCAAUAUAAUUAAAAUAAAUUGUGAUUAACAUGCUUUCUGAACCAAGCUUUUAUAUCUAAGAGACUAAUUCUCUCUUCCUCCAAACCACAAUGGCAAAUUGUGCCAUGAGCAGCCCUUUUGUCUUCUGGGCUGGAACAUCAGCCCAGCCCACGCGGAUGGGCUGAGUCCAGCCUUGUAGCUGGACCAAUACAGGCCCAGCCCACAUGAUUGGGUCGGGUCUGGCCCAGUUCAAUUUAAUGUUGGAACAUCAGCCCAGCCCAUGUGGGUGGGCUGAGUCCAGCCUUGUAGCUGGGUUAAUACAGGCCCAGCCCCCACAAUCAGCCCAGUUCAUUUCUUUUUUAAAAAAAAAAAAAAAAUUAUUUUCAAAGAAAUUGCAAUUUCCCCGUGUAUUUAUUUUACGUCAUUUUGAUUAAUAUUGGUCUGUAUUUUUAUAUCAUAAAGAUAUAAAUUCGGUAUUAAAAUAACCGGUUUUCAAAAAAAAAUAUUUUUGUUUUCAUACAUACGGCCUAGUUUCUCAAGGCUAAAAAUAAAUAAAAUCAUAUUGUAUCUUCAUACAACAAAGAAAACUUCAAUAUAUAUAUAUAUAUAUAUAUAUAUAUAUAUAUAUAUAUAUAUAUAUAUGUGAACAUGUGUUUUGGCUUUAAUAACCAGUUUAUUAAAGUUACGAGAACUCGGCCAAUAUUUCAAAAAAAUCAAAAAAUAUAUUUUGUUUUGUUUUAUUGUCUGGGAUUAUGAAUUUAUAUAUAAAACGUAUUCCUAAUAUUAAAAUGGUAGUUCUUUUAUAGACAUUAGAACAGUUAUGUUUUACCCCCAUAAGAUAAAAACCUCUUUACUGAGAAUGACUUUUCUUGAACCAUAGACGGACCAACAUGAUAAGACCUUAUAUUUUUUAUCAGACAGUGAAACAAUGCAACUUACCUCAGAUAGAGCGUAUUUGGGGUGUUAAUACCUUCUCUUUACGCAACCAGUCUCCGUAUCCAAUCUUUGAGACCAGUUAGGGUUUCUAGUGACUAGAAUACUAGGUGGCGACUCUCCUUCUAUUUUUUCACUGCUAAGACACAAAAAAUUCCUUGUCUCCCCAUUUUUGCUGGAAUAGAUACAAUUGCACCUAAUGAGGAGAAGUGGUGGGCGAUCAUCGCGACGCCGUACACAUGCAACACAUGUAAAACGGUUUCUAUAUAUAUAAAAGGAAGAAAGAAGAAAAUGCAUUAAAUAAAACAUGGAUAUCUUUGAAUGAAGAAAUUUAGGACACCGCUGACGUAUAUAGACAAAGUAUGCCAAGAACGAGGGGGGGCAAAAACAUUAUCAAUGGCUUGAAAGAACAAGACAAAAUAAAAUCAUUAGUUUUGAGCUUCAGAAGACAAUUUUAGCCAUUUAAUUUUGUCUUCAACUCGUUACAAAAAGCCUUGUCAUUUGAGAUUUCAUGCUUGUAAUGUUUCUGUUUUCAAUUAGUAUUACGCUUCCAUCUGUCAGAAUACUGUUGAACUUGACAAGAACUUUGAGCAAAUUCCAAUUUGAUUUUUGUAGCGAAUUAUAUCACUUAAUUGUUUGCUUAGGCUUAUUUUUAAUGUUCAAUGAAGUUUCACCAAUCAGUCAUCAAAUUCUGUAAAUGUUGCAGAUGAUUGCUAGGAAUAAAUCACAGUCAUUAAAUUUCUUCAUUUUGGUCCUUAAAUUUGUUUGCUAUGCUGUAGUUCUUUAUUUUUCGUGGAUAAAUUAUUUGGUACAGAGUUCUAAUUAAUAGCCAAAAAAGAAAAUAGCUCUGAAGAUAUCAGAACAACUGAAAAGAGAAGCAAAUAAUUGAUAAGGUGGGAGAAAAGAAUAGCAAAAUGCAUAGGCAAAUUUCUACAGUAUCAACUGACAAUGUGGAAGAAGAGAAUAUCAACCUGAUAGAUCAUAUAUGCGAGGCUUAUGUGGUUUACGAACACCUGAUUUGCAGAAGCUGGGGAUAAUGUUGAAACUCAAAUACACUCCUAUACAAUGAAAGGUUUUCUUGAAAACUAUCAUAAUUAAAGCAUAAAUUCAAUGAAAACUAAAUUUGCUGGAGGGGUUUCACAGAUUUUGACCAGAUUGAAUUUCACGAGGCGUCUAGCGUGAAUGAAUUAGGGUUUUCUUCUAGCCUUGAAAUUAUAGAGGAAUAGAGAAAAACAAAAACUCAUAUUUUUCUGAAAAGUCUAUAAUUCAAUAAUCUAAUCUUAAAACAAUACUUCAAUUGUUGAAAUAAAAGUUUUAAACCGAUCUAAUUAAAAGAAUUUAAGAUUAAGUGUGAAAAAUAUAAAAAAUACAAAAUUAUUUAGGAAAAUAAUUAAAAUAGCAAAAAUAGAAUCUUUUGACCUAACUUUGAAAAGAUCCUGUGGUGAUGGAGUCUAUAAAAUUAUCUAAUAAAAUUUAAGUAUAAUAUAAUAAUUAAAAUUAUAAUUAUAAUUAAAGCAUAAAAUGUCGUGUACGCCGAUGCUUGACUUGCGGUUUUCCAUUUUGAUUUUUAAAUACCAGAAAACGGUAAUUUCCUUAUAGAAACUGGUGGUCUCCUCGCGACCUUUUUUCUCAAAUAACUGUUGUUAGAGCAUGAUUGAAGUUAGGAUUUAACCCGUGUCAGAAACUUAAUGACUCUCCUCACUAACAGUAAUUUAUUAAAUAUUUUUAAUAUACUUAGUUCAUGUGAGGUUGUGUUUUCAAAAUCUUCCGAGAAAAAAGGACUAAAUGAUGACACACACGACAUUAAUGCAAAAAUAAAAGAUAGCACUACUGGCCAAAUUAAAUUUCACGAGAUGUAUAAAUUCAAACUAGGAUUUUCCAGCCUUUAAUACUCUAUGGAGAAAAAAACUCUAAUAUUUUUAUAAAAAGCUUAUAAUUUAAUAAUCCAAUCUUAAAACAAUAUUUCAAUUGUUGAUAUAAAAAAUUAAAACUGAUCUAAGAAAACUAAGUGGAAAAAAUAAUAAAAUAUAUUAUUUUCAGAAUAUAUUAACAAUUUAUUUCUUGAACAUGAAUACCAAGAAUAGACAGAGAGACACAGAGGAAUCAUUCACAUUUGCACUUGAAAGAAGCCAACUGUAUGCAAAGAGGGCCAAGAAGAACAAAUGAAUUAGUUUGCUGAAACAGACAAUACAAACAAAAGGAGAAGAAUGAGAAAUCAGAUGGGCAGUGUGAUGGUAUUUUCAGAACUAUGGUUGUGCCUUUUGGAAGAGAAUGUGCUUCUUCUCUGACCAUUGUGUACAAUUAUGGUCGUUGUUUCAUCAAAAUCAGAGGGCUGAUUCUGCCUUCUCCUUUACAGCUUCCAAAAGAAAAGGUGAGAAUGGGCUAUUCUUGCUUUUGAUAUUUGAAAUCAUAACAUGCUCCACUGAUUGACUUUUGGUGUAACAUUUUGAUCCUUAAACUUCACUUGGCCGUAAUUUCCUGAUGAUUUCUUUAUGGGAAACAGGUUGUCUUCUCGCAAUCCUUUUCCAAACAACCCCUGUUAGAGCAUCAUUAAAGUUUUGAUUUGUACCAUCAUCAAAAAAUGACUGUCAUCAUCAUCACAACGUACUUCCAUUUCAAUUAAUUCUUUAUAUUAUAACGCAGCAGAACAUAAAAUAAUGGGUGAAGAUAUUUUAGCUGAUAAUGGGUGAAGGGAUAUUUUUUUUCUAAUUGAAAACGACUUGUCAGCUUUAGAAAAUGCAUGCAGGGCCCAGUUUAAUUUCAAUUUCUCAUACUCUCGUUAAUGCAAGUUUGGACAGCUUGGGGAUGUGUCGUCCAUCCGGUUUCCUUUUUUGAUCGGGAGUCAAUGGGAUUAGUAAUUGACACUUCAUCAUCAAAUCAAAAUUAAAAAUGUUAAUGAACUCACAAUUAAUUGCCAUUAAGCUCCAUUGAGUGUAAACAAUGAAUUUAUAAAAUAGUCAAAAGUGGGAUGUCGUGAUUUCAACAAUGCCGUUUCAGAAAAUUGAUAGUCAUGAUGAAAAGAAGAAGACAGAAUUGUUGAGUUGAAACGUGAACGUCGUGUUCUCCUGAUCAAUUGUAUAGUGAAGAUGGUGGAACUGAUGCGGGUGCAUAGCACCAACCAUUACUUCCCUAAUGAUUUCCUUGCGGAAGAAAUUAUUACAUUUUUAAAGUUAAAAGUGCUAAAGCACAAUUCAAAGAAAAUAAGCAGUACUAAACUUAACAAGCUAGUUCAAUGGAGGAGAAUGGUGUGCUGAAACACUAUGAUUUUCAAAAAAAUUGAAGCAUAUCAGAUCCAUGCUGCUGCAUUCGCAAGAAACGAGCACCCAUCAACAAUGUGCUAAAUGUCAAUGCAGAGCUUUAAAUCAUCUACAGAGGCUCAUGAAGAAAAUAGGCAUAAAUGAUAACAGAUAACACACCAGAGCACUCUACGUAAACUGAUAUCUUUAGAAAAUUCAAAGGCAUGAAUGAAAAAGAAAAGCUAGAAAUAUCUAAGUCAGCUCUUAAUUUGUAACAGUCCACAACUUCAUGUUUGGUGUGUACUGUAAACUAUGCUCUCCACAUAAUCAUGAGCUUCAUCUGCAAAAAACCAUUUUCACUUCUUGGGACAAGGGAUCAAAAAAAUACAAACCUGUUGUUGGAUUACAUUCAUAAUUUAUAUCAAGCACUAGAUGCUGCUCGAAGGAAGUCCUUCAAGGAAAAAAAUCAGGAACAAAAAUGCUGAGAGGUCCAUCUUGGAGGUCAGAAAGCUGGAGUUCUACUAGAAGAAGAUACCUCUGGAGAGAGAAAUAAAGGAAGCCUGAACUGCUUAGAGUUUUCUUACCGAAGCUUCAAGUUAAGAUCAUUUUCAUUUCAAUUUGGAUGUAGAAAUAAUGAUGGGAUGUGAAAAUUAUAUUUUCAUUUCAGAGAGCUGGUUGAUUAUAUUUUGAAAAAGGGUAUAUAUGAAAGUUAAAUCCUCUGUUCAAAUGAACAAAGGGAUCAACUUGAGCAAGAGUCAACAAGCUAUCCUUCGAGGUCAAUGGAACAUACCACUCAUAUUAAUCUUCUACUAUUUAGGGGAAUUCAUACAUCCACUCAUCUUAAGCUGGAAAACUUAUGGAAAGCAUUCGCAAUUGUUUCCAAUGUAUCGACUGUAAUCAAUCAAUAGAUCAUCAACUAUUGUCCUCAUUGAAAGUUUCCUGCUCCCUAUAUAGAGAAUGUCUGAUUAAUUUCAUUAAAUAUGCAUGAUUCCACUGUAUGUUAGCUAACCAAAAGAGCCUACAGGCCAAAUAAACAACAGGAAUAAGAGAAACUACUUCCAACGCCAUCAUUUCUCCUUUCUAGUAUCAUCUUUUGUUUAAUGUUUAAUGCUCGUAGCCUCUGAGCACUCCAAACUAAUUUUUAAAAUAAAAUAUCAAGAGAUGGCAGAAAAUGAAUGUGCUCAUCAACUAUUUUCCUCAUUGAAAGUAUACUGUGGUAUUUUAAAUUGCUCCAGUUUUUAAAAAAUAGAAGGCCACAGGCCAAAGAAACAACAGGGAUAAGAGAAACCGUUUUUUAUUUGAGAAAAUACGAUACUGCAAACUAUUUCUUAUGAAUAAAUCCCGUAUUACAAGAAGCCAAGAAUUGGUUGGUUGCUCAGCACAACAUAACUCAACAUAACUGAUACAAACAAUUACUGAUACAAGCACAAGGACAAACACAAGUCACAUCAAAAUAGAAAGGCUAAGCAACAAGAACACUUCUCACAGGCAAAUUGCUAAACAUGCAGUGAGCAACCAUUGAUUUGGAAUGCGACUGCUUCUCCACAGAGGAUUGCAACAAAUUCAGAAAGCAGCCCACACGCUCCUGAUAAGAUCCAAUCACCUUCUGAAUCUGGACAACUUGGGAAAGUUAAUUGCCAAAAAGCAGCAGCAAGUGUCAAUGCAUUCUUCAAUGAAGUAAAACCACCUGCGACGCCAAUGCGGAUUUAUGCACAGUACUGCUGCAAUUGUCAACACCACAGUUAUGUAAAACACACCAAAGCUGGCAUAGAAACUGUCCAUGUCUAUGAAGCCACCAUCUCCAUUGAAAUCAUUAGGCACUCUCGCGGAUGGUGAUUCUGUUUUGUCGCAACUAUUUUGCAAUGGAGGUCCACAAAGAAGAGGAUUCCCUUUAUAACUGCUUUCAUCAAAGGUACCAAAUUGAUUUUUCAUCUCCGGUGUUCUUCCUGACAAAUUAUUGUACGACACGUUAAAAACUGCUAGAAAGGUCAGUUCAACGAGUUGUGCAGGAAUUCUCCCAUUCAAAUUGUUGUGAGAAAGAUCCAAGCUCUCUAGCUGCUUCAGAUUGAAGAAGGAUGAAGGGAUCAAUCCAGUGAGAUUAUUUUGUGACAGAUUUAGAGAAUGUAUCCCACUUAAGUUUCCCCAUUCUAUCGGGAUUUCUCCAGUGAAUCUGUUACAAGAAAGAUCCAAAGCAGACAUGUAACGAAGGAUUUCGCCUUCAUAAGUGUAGAAGUUUUUCUUUGUUGUAAGCUCUACAG